rnacentral:lncRNA from 1 species
AUGAGAAUUCUCUCACCUUAUAUGUUUUUUUUUGGUCAAAGAUAUUCAUUAGAUAACUAAAACAGAGUUACCCACCAAUACAAAUAGAGAGGUUCAGGGCCUUAAGGGCCGAUUUUGCUAAAACAUCAGAAGGCUCAUUAAAGGAGCGCUUAAUAAAAUGAAAGGAGAUAGAAUGAAAGUGAGCUCUCAACGAUCUGAUAUCAUGGAGAAUUCCCUUCAGCUCGUUUGAAUCUUCACCUGAGCAAAGGAUUGAAACAAGGGUCUGCGAGUCAGAGCAGAAUUGGAGCGAAGAAAGACCAGCUUCAAGAGCUGCUUCCAUGGCUGAUUUUAAAGCAAAGGCUUCCGCCGAAAGAGCCGAUGCGACAAAGUUCCUUGAGCUUGUGUUUUGAAGGACUGGUCCAUUGUGAUCCAUCUUUAUAAUCCAGCCAAGUCCACAGUGUCCCGACGACACGUCCCAUGCUGCAUCCACGAAGCAGCACGAAGCAUCCAAAUUCAGGGGAGGCCCUGUUCGUUGUUCCCCUGUUUUCACUUUUGGUAACUGUUGUUGUGCACCUUGCCAACUGCGAGCUUCCCUUACCGCUUUAAGGAUUACCUCCUGUUCCGAGCACUGCUCUGCUUUGAAAAUCCUUUGAUUUCGGGCUUUCCAAAGGAACCAGAGGAUCCAUGGGUACAACGGUGCAUGAGAAAGGCCUGAGGGAGGGAGGUUGAUCAUCUUCUUAAUUUCCAGCAGUACACUUUUCAUUGAAUUCAGGUUGGCUUGUCUAGGCUGGAGAAUCGUUGGGGCAAGGUCCCAGACUUUUGCCGCAAAAGGGCAUCUAAAGAAGACGUGAAUCUCAUCCUCCACUUCACCACAAACUUUGCAGGUUACAUCCGAUGUAAUCCCUCUAUAUUGGAGGGAUUUCCCCAGAGGGAGGGCAUGAGCCACCGAUUUCCAGAGAAAGGUUUUUAGUUUGGCAGAGGUACGAACCUUCCAGAUAUUGGAUUGCCAAUUGAAACCAUCCCUCUCUAGGGGUUCAGAGUGAAGCUUAUUUAGAGCAUACCCGGUUUUUGUUGAGUAAAUUCCUGAUUUUGCAGGUAACCAGACUAAGGAGUCGUCUAAUCGCCUUGAGCUUAAAGACAGUUUCCUGAUCUGAUCCUCAUAAAGAGGUAAGUGAAGUCUUAUGGCUGCAAUAUUCCAGCUAGGCGGGUUUUGAUGUAUUAAGGAGUCAACAUUGAGGUCCAUUGUUUCAGCAGUUGGUGGUCCAAAAGGGGACAGGGGAGUAGAUGUAGAGAGCCAAGGAUCGCGCCAAAUAUUUAUACUCUGUCCAUUACCCACCAACCAACCUAAUCCUUUUUUCAGAGUUUCUCUUCCUGCUAGAAUACCUUUCCAGCCAUGAGAAGCAUUUGAAGGACAAGAAGACUCCAUAAAGGAGGAAACAUGACAAUAUUUGCCCAUAAGAACUUGACCAAGCAAGGAAUGUGGAUUUUUAAGGAGUCUCCAGCUGAGUUUGGCCAAGAGAGCAUCAUUAAAUCGCUCAAGCUCUCGGAAACCCAGCCCACCUGCAUUUUUGGGAAGUGUUAGUUUGUCCCAGGAAACCCAACACAUCUUUCUCUUGUCUGGCUUGUCAUCCCACCAGAAGCGAGUUAAUGCCGCUUGAAUCCUUUUGUACAUUGAGCCUGGAAGUUUGAAACAAGUCAUAGCAUAAGAAGGCAUCGCAGCCAACACAGCUUUGAGAAGGAUCUGUUUGCCUGCAGCCGAGAGGAAACGGGACGACCAGCUUCCUGCUUUUUGUCUAAUCUUGUCGACAAUGGAAGUAAAGAUAUCCCUCUUGCGCCUCCCAAAGUUCUCCGGAAGCCCAAGAUAUUUACCAACUCCCCCCUCCAAAUUGAUUCCUAGGGAGCGUUUUACUCGAUGCUUGAACUCUGCGGGAGUCUUUGAUGAGAAAGUAAUUGAAGACUUGUUGGUAUUAAUGGUUUGUCCUAAUGCCGCCUCAUACCGUGUUAGUAUUGAUCUUAGAGCCUCGCAGCAAGAACCUUUUGUUUUUGUGAAAAACAUCGUAUCAUCCGCGAAAAGGAGAUGGUUAACCGGGGGGCUGCCAUGCGCUACUUUAACUCCAGGAAGAGUCCCAUUCCUUUGAGCUUUACGGCAUAGACCCGAAAGGACCUCGGUACAUAGGAUAAAUAGGUAUGGUGAUAAGGGGUCGCCUUGGCGGAGACCUCGAGUUGGGCUAACCAUACCUUGCGGAUGGCCAUUGAUAAGGAAAGAGUAAUUGACAGAGCUUACACAAGUCUUACCCAGCCUAUCCACUUCUCUUGGAACCCCAGUCUAGUCAACACUGCUCUUAGAAAACCCCAUUCGAUUCGGUCGUACGCCUUGCUUAUAUCCGUUUUGGUCGCCAUAGAGCACCGUUUUUGUGCUUUUGAAAUGCGGAGAAAAUGUAAAAUCUCAUGCGUGAUUAACACGUUAUCCGAGAUAGCACGAUUCGGGACGAAAGCAGAUUGAUGUGGUGAGAUGAGCUGUUCUAGGAGGGGUUGUAGUCUCCGGGUUAGGAUUUUGGCGAUGAUCUUAUAAAACACAUUGCAAAGUGCAAUAGGCCUAUAGUCCGCAACCUUCUUAGGUGCUUUGAUCUUAGGGAUGAGGCAUACAUACGUAGAGUUUUGUUGUUGGUGAAUCACUCCCUGAUCAAAAAAAGACCAAAUUUCUCGGGAUACAUCUGGGCCUAUAACAUCCUAAUAACCAUGAAAGAAGCUGGCCGAGAAGCCGUCCGGUCCCGGUGCUUUAUCCGGGUGGAUUGAGAACACGGCUGCACGAAUAUCCUCAAGAGAGGGGGCCUUUGUUAACUGAUCAUUCAUAUCCUGUGUGAUACAAGGUGUCAAGACCUCUGACACUAUCUGGAAAUCCGUAUUUCCAUUUGAGGUAAACACCUUGUGGAAGUAGUCUGCAAUAGUCGCAGCAAUUUGGUUUUCCUCAUGAACAGAGGUACCCUGUUCCGUUUCAAUCGUAUUCAGCCUAUUCUGGUGUCUCCUGCCUCUUGUGACCGCAUGAAAAAAUCCAGUGUUCCUGUCACCAUGUUGGAGCCACUGAAUUCUACUUCUUUGACGCCAGAAUAGCUCUUCCUCUCUAUAAGCCUGCUGGAGCUCCUCAGUUGUAGACCCAAUCUGUUCUGGAUCCGGUAAUAGUGCUGAGAGGAGAUCCUCAAGUCUAGACUGCAGGUCAUUGAUUUUCUUGUUGCUGUUACGGUUCUGAGCUUUAGACCAUUCAAUAAUGGCUCUUCUACAUCUCAUUAUCUUGUUUUCCAAGGGUUCACGCUGGAAAUGAUUCCAGGAAUCAACAAUUACCCCUUUAACUUCCUCAUUUUGCAGCAGCCUGCGAUCAAAUCUGAAAACUCCCUUUCUCUUCCUUCUUGAUUCAUCAGAGAAAGUUACUAGUGGUCUAUGAUCCGAGCCCUCAAAGCGGAGGUACUGGCAGCGACCCGAGGGAAAGGUUUCAUUCCAUGAACAAUUGGCCAUCGAUCUAUCCAGUCUGGAUUUAAUAUAAUGGGUAUGACGCUUACCCCUCCACGAUAGAGGAUUUCAGCAUGUUUGAUAUCCCAUAGUCCAUUCUGGGAAACAAAACUCUGGAAGUUGAUAAAAGAACCUUCAGAGCGAAGAGGCCCACCGAUCUUCUCGGAAUUAUCCAGUAUUUCAUUAAAGUCGCCUGUGAGCAGCCAUGCCAUCUCUCUGCCCUCUCCCAGCAAGGAGAUUUCAUCCCAGAACUCUUUUCGAUUUUCUUGUUGUGGCUGCCCAUAGAUGAAAGUGAUAAGGGACGAUGCCCUGCCAUUACUCUUGAUCUGAGUAUCUAUAAAGUUUGGAGAAGAAGAUAAAAUUUCUAACUCAAUUUCUUCUUUCCAAAAUAAGGCCAGUCCACCACUCAAACCUUGUGGAGGAACCGUAAACUUGUUACAAUAACCUAAAGUAUCAAAAACAUGGAACACAUGAUCAUCUUGGUUUUUCGUUUCCAUGAGAAACACUAUAUCCGGGAAGAUGGUAUCUUUAAACUCCCGGAUUUGACGAACUGUAAGGGGGUUUCCAAGCCCUUGACAGUUCCAGCUCAAAGUGACUAAGGAAGCGGGUUUGGGGGGAUCCGAAAAUCCACCCGUCCCUUGCUUGUCGCCGGAAUUAAGGUCACUAACGAAGUAGUACUGGGGCCAGGUUCAUGUGAUCCAACUUGAAUAGGAGCCUCUGGAGGUAAUUCCACACUGAGUCUUCUUCUAGUACUGUUUUGGGCUCGCAGGACAUUUGCUUUCCUCAGACUAACUCCCUGCACCGGACUCCUGUUGGCCCUUGGGCAAGUAGAUGGUUUCGGAGGUUUUGUUGCUUUCUUCUUGUUUUUUCCUCUGGUCACUGCAGCUUUCUUGGGUUGCUUCUUACUGGCUGACGGGCCUGCAUCUUGGACUGGUGAAGGGCAAAGUCUUAAAGAAGCCGGAAUCCUCAUAGAGGAGCCUCCUAUGUCAGGAGAAAUAGCAUCUGGCAGGGAACUCAAGACCAUGUUUUGCUGGCUUGCAAGACUUAGAGUCUGAUUGUGAAACAGAGGAGGAGGGAAAUCACCCCUCCCUAACUCCGUUUACUGGUUGGCUUCCUCUGCAUACCGAAUCUCGAUGUCUUGAAGAUGGUCUGAUUCUACAGAAUGAGUCAGAACUGGCAGGGGUUGUGGGUGAGACGUUCCCCCCAAGGAAAGGCGUUCAAGCGCUGGUCUCCUAGUUUUAGGGAUACUGGAGACUUCUCCCUGCUCCGUGGGUGGAGGGGCCAUUUCCUCUCUUUGAGGUCUUGGAGGAGGAGUUCUUGCAGAGCGAGGUCUUGAGGAAUCUUCUCUGUGCAGGCUUCCCUCUGGGAUCUUAGAUUCUUCGCGUCUAGAGAAGUUAUCCCGAGAUUGGGGUAGUGCAUGUUCGACCCCUGUACUUCUUUCCUGACGUGGGGGGAGCUCACCAACACGGGAAAAUGAACGAGGAUGUACCCCUGGUUUCAUCACCGAGGAUUCACCAUGUCUAGAACGAGAGACGUCAUUUCUUACUGGGCUCCAAGCCAUAGAACGAUGAGAAGAUCCUCCAUAGGGAUGAUAUCUGGGGGUGGACCGGUUUGAUCCCCUCUGAAGCUCACUAUUAUGAGAACGCUGACUAGGAGGACCUCUCCUCUCCACACCAGGUCUGCUAAAGGAUUUACCUCUCAAAACAGAGUACUCUCUGUUAUUUGAAAGUGAGGGUCUGAGGGAUUUCCUCUCCUCUCCUUUUCGCCUGUCUGCUUCCAACCUAGAGAGAGUUCUCUGUUGGUUAAUGUCGGUAGACUUAGGUUCCACUCUAUCAGAAGAAGCACGUCUGGGACAGCCUUAUAUGUAUCAUCUACUACACAAAAUAAAAUAAAAAAUUAUCAUAGAAAACAAUCUCUACAAAAAAGGAAAGUAAAAACAAAGGACAAAUCCAAAUUCAGCCAAUAAAAGAUUAAAAGAAACAGCAAUUUAGAUUCCGGUGAUCGGAGUUUCAAGACGUCGCCUUUGAAGAACCUCCCGUGUCCACUUUCACGGCGCGUUCGCGACGCAAGCUGCUUCCUCUUGUGUACGGCUUCUUAGCACCCUUGAAAGAGAAAACAUAGAGGUUCACAAAGUUUUGAAUUACAUGUUUUUUCAAAAAGAAAUAUUUUUCGCUCUCAAGAACUUAAAUCUAAACACAAUGAGUAUUUCUUUUAUGUUAAGGUACGAACCCUUUUGUUUUUGCUCACCUGGAAGAUCGUUCCAAGUUUCUUCAGUCCUAUGGCACGAGCUCGAAGAACAUCCUUGGAAACACUUGGAUCUUUAAGCACCUGUGAGAGAAAGGGACAAAAUUAACACCUAAUUGAUUGUUGCUACAAGAAAAAUGGUUGUAUAAUGUAUGAUGAAUCUUAGUAUCUUACAGAUUGGCAAACACGAGAUAGAGUGGAUUCGAUGUCGAGAACAUUGAUUUGCCAAAGAGAUUGAAGCAAAGCAUCCAUCUUAGCUUCAAUGGCUUUCUGAAUAUGCUCCUCUUUGUUCUCUCCUUGGUGUUCAUUCAGCUUGUUCACUUCAUCCUGCAACUGAAGUAACAAAACCGCACCUACAGAUCAAAACAAAAUCAUCCAACGUAAGUAAAGAUUUUGUUAAGUUAGAAAACCAAAACACUUUGGUUUAUAUAUUGCUUUGUUUUAUACCAGAAGCAGCCAUGACUUGAGAUUUCAUAUGGUGGCCUUUGUCACGCACCCAUUCCGCUAAGAACGGCACUUUCAUAUACCGCUUGUCUUUACCGAUUUCUUUAGCAGCUUUUCUUGUGUAAAUGUAACCAAUAGUAUGCAUCAUUGCUUCGCCAAAACCUUAAACAGCAGAGCAAGAUUAUGGAAAAAAUUUCAGUUUCUAUACAGUUUGUGCCUAGCUUUCUUGGUUUAUAUGAAAAGACAUUCAUUUAUAGGUAAAAUGCAAAGGGGGGGUUUACCGGCAGAAGAAAGCCGCUUUGCCUCUUCGUUUGCCCAUUCGAUAAAUUCAUUGGUUUGUCCUUCUACAAACGGUUCAAGUUUGUUUUUCAAUGUAGCGGCGAGCUUGUCUUCCCUCUCCUUUUGUAGAGCCUGCACACAAUCCCCACAUAAAAUACAUGCAGAAAAGUAACUUAACAUCAACACACAUUAAAUAGAAGGGUGAAAACAAUGUACUUUGAUCUUGUCUUGAAGCAUUUGCUUUCUGAUUUCAGGCUCAUGUGAUUCUAAGUCAGCUUCGAUUGAUGCCAAAUAAGCAAGUGCAAGCUGGCCAACAUAUUCUUCAAAGACUUCGCUUCCGAAAAGCAUACCAAAUACAGCUGCAGGAUCAACCAUUGCAUCCCUGACAACAAAAACAUAUAACCAGCUUCAACCAAUCACAAACCGAAACCGUAGAGAGAGACCAAAACAUACUGUUGGACCCCUUCUUUGCCAUAUUUGUCAUAAGCAGCUCGCUUCUCCGGAUUGCUCAGAACCUGAUAAGCCUCACCUAAAACCUUUUUCAUUCAUGAAAGCAACAAAUGAGAGACAUGAUCUGGAGAACUUUAUGAAGAUUCAAGUAAAACAAGAGACAAAGACCCUGGAAACAAACAGUAACAAUCUGAAAACACCUGAAAGUUCUUAGCAGCUUGAGGGUCUCCAGGGUUCUUGUCUGGAUGAACUUUCCUUGCCUGAAGAGCAAACAAACAAAAGGAUAUUCACAAUCAAAAUUUUACAUUAUCAAAAAAAAAAAAAAAAAAAAAAAAAGACUUUACUUUUAAGUAGUAAGCCUUUUUAAUCUCAGCAUCGGAGGCAUCAGUUUUGACGCCUAAGAUCUCGUAGUACUCAUUCUCCUUCACCAUACCUUUUUUCUAAACAAAUAUGAAACAAACACACAAAUCAAGACCAAGCUUGCAAAUUUGAUCCUAAUAUCAAUGUAUGCGGAUAUGUUUACGAUUUCUUUUCCCAUUGUUUUCUUGUGAUCAUCGAAAAGGGAGAAAUAUCGAUGUCCAGAUCUUAGAAAAAACCCAGAAUUGGGGAUUAUAAAAAAAAAAAAAAAAAAAAAAAAGACACAAAUUUUGAGUGGCGAGAUCAUGAAUCUAGACAUAAGAAGACAGACAGAGAGAAAAGGAAGAGAAACUUACUGGUGGUGAUCGUGAAGAAAUGUAAAUGGGGGCAACGAAAACUCUCGAUUCUAGUUGGCGAAAUGUGAAAGGUGUUUGGUCUUUAUAUACAAAGAAAACGACGAGUGUUUACGGUUUUGGUUUUUGAUAGAUUGAGAGAUAUUCUAAACGUGUCCGUGACGUAUACAUCUCUCUCUAUAAUUAAUACACACGUGUCCGAAAAUGUUCUGAUUCAACCGUGUUCGAGGCAAAAUAAAAAUUAAAAAUCUUAUUAAAUGUAGGACUUAUCCAUGGGUACUAAGUCAAUUUCCAAUUAAGUUCUUGCCAAAGAAAAAAAAAAAUGCAAAUUUUCUCGAUUCGAUCAUUGUUUGGGUUAGCAAACUUUCAACGCAACCCGCAUCAGAAAAUGGUAGCAGUUCGUUUUCUUCACUCAACCAACUUGUAUUAGUAUUAAUAUGCUUCUCUGAGAGUAGAAGAUGGAUGCUUAACGAUGUGUUCUUGAUAAUUAAUGACAUGAUAAACCAAUCUAUUCGUGGAACUUUCUCUGAAGAUGUAAAACGUGAAUCUUGAUUUUUACGCCUUCUUUUUAGUGUAUUCUUCCUCUGUGUGGUAAAGCCGCGCGAGAUUUCAGGGCAAUGUGAUCAAAGGACACAACCAUGGUUUGAAUGAAGCAUCUCAGCCUCGUUGCUCCACUGAUGAUAUUGGUCAUAUUUCAACAGACUAUAGAUGUCCUUCUAUAGUGAAUGGCAGGGCCGGUCCUAAGAGUAUUGAGGCCUAAAGCAUAUUAACAAAUUGUGGCCUAUUCUAUUUCUAUGACAAAUUUUUAUCGAAAAGUUAUAACUUCGUAGCUUUAUCAAAUUAUAGUAAACUAUAAUUAACACUAUUAAAAAUUUAUAUUUAAAUAAUUAGAAAAUGACUUAAUUUGUUUCAAAAUAUAUAUAUACCUAGAGGCACAUUACAUCAUUUGAAGUUAUGUAGUUUAACUUCUUGCCUAAUACAAAUUUUUACUGGUGUGUUUUUUAACUAUUAAAAAUAAUAAAAUUACUGAAAAUGGUAUAAGUAUCCAAGAAAGAAACUUGAAAACAAAAAUUCUUUUGAAAAAAAUAUUAAUGGAACUUAAAUUAUAUUUAAAAUAGACGUGGAUUAAGGAGUCACUAUACCAAUUUGACCAAAUUACCAAUACAUCAUGUGGCCCUUAAAACUACUUAAACAAAUUGUGGCCUCAAGCAUAUGCCUUACGUGCUUUAUGGAAGGGCCGGCGCUGGUGAAUGGGGAGCCAAGAAAGGAAGCUUUUAAUACGAGUACUCAUGCAAAUCUUCAAGAAGAAAACUUUCCCGAAGUUCCUCAAGACACGGUAAGUUUUUUUAGCAAAAUUUUUCUCUUAGGAUGUUAAAUGACCAUAUAAGAUUGUAAUUUUUCUCAGGUUCCUGAGAUAGCUACGAGAAAUUCUCCUAGUAACAAGACAAUGUUAGGAGAAGACAGUUUUUUUGGGAAUACUGUAGAUGAACAAUCUUGAAGAGAAAGAAAUGUGCGGAGGUCAAAGAGAGCUCAAAAGCGGAAAACAAGAAGUGAAGAACCAAAUCGAUCAUUGUAGCAAAAAACCGCCAAAGAAGAAGAAGUUCAAGCAUUCUACGUACUCCUCGACGGAAGAGAACAUGUAACUACAACUUCUUACUAAACUAUUUGUUGGAAAUAAAGCUUAGAACCAGAAUUGACAAAGAACGAAAGUCGCAGAGCCGUAGAGAAUCUACUGCACUUGAGCGAAAAACCGCCUAAUCCCGGUGUGCAAGAUAACCAAGACGGCUCACUCCAGGGUUCACUCUGCUCUCAAUUGUGUUGUGCACUCAACCCAAAAGAGAUGAAGCUCUCAAACUCAAACUCAGAAAUUUAGAAGAAGAAGAAGAAGAAAAUAGAAGAGAGAGAUGUAAUCUCCAUAAUGAAAUUGAAGACUAGACUCUCCUUUAAAUAGGCACAAGAUCGAACUUCUCAUCAAAGAUUUUAGCCAUAAAAUCCGAGAUCCAAUGACCCAUCUCUCCUCACCGUUGCAAACCAAACGGAGAGAACUGCGGCGUGGUCACGAUCUUUGACCUAUUCUUUUAAGAAGAAGAGUUUCGUCAAAAUACAAUUUCUCAAAACGUCAAAAUAAACUUGGGCAAUGAAGCCCAUUUAUUUAUUCACAAAAGCCCAAUUUAAGAAACAUACCCAACACUAUUAUGUUGUAACUGACUCUUUCUUCGUGUUGAUUUAUGUUGAUAUUUUUUUUGUUACCGUAUAAAUAUGAAGAAGGGUAUUUUGGACAUUAGUUUGAGUCAGAUGAAAGAGAAUUAAUUAAUUAAUCUUCAAUGCCAGAUCUUGCAAUAUUUUUUCGUCUGUGGUUUAAUAUUUUGUUGACCCAUAAAUUUAUUCUCUGUUGAUUUCUAUAAAAUAAAAAUGGAUAUAUUUUGUGAAAGUAAAACAAUUAAAAUAAUAAAUAUUCAACCUAGAAAAUGGGAAGGCCUAACGACCGUUGACCCUCCCUCUAAUUGCUCCGUAUUUAUUUGAUUUUCUUCUAAUCUUGUAAUCAAUCCUCCGGUAUUCGCCACGUGUUGUAUGGGCCCACGGUACGGGCAAUGAAAAAUUAUACUUUGCUCCCUUAUUUAAUGAACAAUUCACAUUUUGCUGCCUAACAUUUUCUAGUUGUCAAAAUAACCCAUGCUCAUGUAGACAAGCUCUAUACAUUUUUUCUAAAAAUCAAACCCGUUUUUGUAUUAAAAAAAUUAAAUAAAAACCACAAAAAACAACUUAUGAUUUGAUGACGGAGAACUUUAAAAAAAAGAGAAUUUAUUCCAAUUUAUCGUAGGCUUUACUCUAUGUAUCUUUUAUGAAUUAAUAUUUAUAAUAAAUAAACUUAACUCACUAAUCAUAUUGAAUUACCGAACACAUUCAUUGUUUUAUCCAAGAACUUAAGUUCUUAACCUAUGGAAUUAAUCAAAGUGGAGUAAAAUUUUCCAAAAUAAUAUUUGCAAAAUAGUUGAAAUCCAAUUUUUUUUUGGCAAUAGUUAUAAUUGAUCCAAAAUUAAGUGGGGUCAUAUUGUAAAGAAUAUUUUUGUCGUCUUUUUUUCCAAAAAAUAAGCAAUUUAAUAGUGUUGUUUGUCGUUUUGUUGGCUGAAUUCUCUUAGUUGGAUUUUUUUAAAAUUAAAUUAUUGGAAUAUGUUUUUAAAUUCUGAUUGGUUUAAUGGUCUACUAUCCAUAUCUAUUAAAACUUUUUACCUAUACCCAUUAAUGACCGUCUGAUCGUUUUUUGUUGAUGAUGGUUAGACCAACUAUCUCUUCAUUUUCUCGGUUUCUCCUUAUUUAAUUAUUUCUAGCAUGUCUAAAUAAACCCCAUCAUUAUGCUUCUUUUACAUAUUUGAACAAAAACUAGUUUAAUGACAGAAUUAACCGCAAUUUCCUUAAAACCAAAUUUUGUUUUCUAUCAAAGAUAAUAUCUCAUUUUUGACUAAAUUAAUUGUAUGAAAUAUUCAUAGUUUUCUUUUGUCAGAUCAUAUUAUCAAAAUCUAAUCAAUACAGAAUGAUUAAGCAACAUAAGCUUACCCGAAAAAAGAACACAUUAUACCAUUUUAUUUCAUCUUGAUAAAAUAAUUUGGAAAAACAAUAGUAUCAUGUUCUAGGUGUAAUUUAAUUUCCACAUUAAAAUCCUGCCACAAAAAUACUGUACCACCGUCAAUUUGGGGGGGUAAAUUGAAAGACAAAAAAGUGUGGGGCUCACAAAUAAAAACGAAUGUAACAGUUGGGGUCUCAUUAAAUAACGGUGCAAAUACAAACUUCUAUAACAAAAAUAUACUCCCAUUUUAGGUGAGAAGAAACUGAGAAAGUCCCAUUUAGUUCGGUCCGAAUUCUAAACUCCCACUUUUGUCUCUCUCAAUUUGUUUUCUUUCUCUCUCCUUAAAAAAAUUUCGUUGGCGAUUUUUCUGGGUUUCUUGUAAAUGUGAGAAGUAGAUAGAUUCUCAAGAAAAAAAGGGUUUUUUUUUUUUUUUUUUUUGUUGAUUCGUGGUUCAGCCAUCUUCUCGAAAGAUUUGGGAAAGAUCCAAGGAAUCACAAGAUUUUUUCCGAUUUUUAGUUGAAAGGAAUAUAACAUGUCAGGUCCACUUGAUCGAUUUGCAAGACCAUGUAAGAGAUCUCAUCUUCGUUAUUGUCUUAAAUCUUUAAAGUUCUUUCUCUGUAAUCUUGUUGUUUCUGGGUAAGCUUUUUUCUAGGGUUUACUGUAGCAUAAACUUCGAAAUGAAACAACUUUGAGGUCUAAUAUCAUAAUGAGAAUCGAAAAAUUGUGUCUUUUUGCUUUGUCGUGUGUUCAAUUUAUGUUCUUGAGCUGAAAACUUUGGAGCUGGUAAAGUAAUGGGAAUUUAGAUUCUUGUAUAUGGUUUCGUUGAGCUAAAUGCAUUAGUUUAUUAUAAGUUUCAUCAAAUCCAAACAGCUUUCACUACAGGUUUUGAAGGAUUCUUGAGCAGUGAUGAGAAAAAGGAAAGAAAAUCAGAUUUUGAGAAUUCUGAGGAUGAGAGGAGAACAAGAAUCGGUUCAUUGAAAAAGAAAGCCAUCAAUGCAUCCACUAAGUUCAAGCAUUCUCUUAAGAAAAAGAGCGGAAGAAGAAAAAGUGACGGUCGAGUGAGUUCUGUCUCCAUUGAGGAUGUGCGGGAUGUCGAGGAGCUACAGGCUGUUGACGCGUUUCGACAAUCGUUGUUAAUGGACGAGUUGCUUCCGGAGAGACACGAUGACUAUCACAUGAUGUUGAGGUUCUUGAAAGCGAGGAAAUUUGAUAUUGAGAAAGCUAAGCAAAUGUGGGCUGAUAUGAUUCAAUGGAGGAAGGACUUUGGUACUGACACUAUUAUUCAGGUUUGCUAUACUUUUAAACAGAAGAUAGUGUUAACCGUUGUUGUUGAUUAUGUUUUUGUAACGUUUUAUUCGUGUCGACAGGAUUUUGAUUUCGAAGAGAUUAAUGAAGUUUUGAAACAUUACCCGCAAUGUUAUCACGGUGUUGACAAAGAAGGCAGACCUAUUUACAUUGAAAGGCUAGGGAAAGUUGAUCCUAACAGACUCAUGCAAGUUACAAGCAUGGAUCGAUACGUAAGAUAUCAUGUAAAGGAGUUCGAAAGGAGCUUUAUGAUCAAGUUUCCUUCCUGCACAAUUGCUGCAAAGAGGCAUAUCGAUUCGAGUACAACUAUUCUUGAUGUUCAGGGAGUGGUAAGUAUUUUCUAUAAUUCCUGAUAUCAGUUGUGAGAUGAGUUGUUUCUCAUGUAUUUAUAUAAUUUCAUAUUCAGGGAUUGAAAAACUUUACCAAGUCUGCUCGAGAUCUUAUCACGCGAUUACAAAAGAUUGAUGGAGACAAUUAUCCUGAGGUAUUAGUUAAUUGGAGCUUCUAUUACUGUGAAUGGGACGUCAGGUAUCAAAUGCUAAUCUUGGCUUUGUGGUAUUUCAUGCAGACUCUCCACCAAAUGUUUAUUAUCAAUGCAGGGCCUGGAUUUAGGCUACUCUGGAACACUGUGAAGAGCUUUUUAGACCCAAAAACAUCUGCUAAGAUUCAUGUAUGAGAGAUCUAAGUUAUAUGGUUAUAGCUUUUUAUUUAAAAGACUUGUCUUCAAUUAUAUAGAAUUCAAUCUGAGACUAUUCUAUUGUUAUGUAGGUCCUCGGAUACAAGUAUCUGAGCAAAUUGCUUGAAGUCAUUGAUGUCAAGUAUGUGAACCUUGACCCUUGUUUGAUCUGUUCUAUCGAAAGCUGAUCGUUUUGUUUGCUUAUGUUGAAAAUGGUCUGCAUUUUUUUUACAGCGAGUUGCCUGAGUUCUUGGGAGGUGCAUGUACUUGCUCAGAUCAAGGUGGUUGCAUGCUUUCUGACAAGGGACCUUGGAAAAACCCGGAAAUUGUGAAGGUCGUUUAAUCGACUCAUCUCUUUUUGCCUAGGAUUUUAUAUAGAUCAUCAUACCAGGUUGGAAUCUGAGACAUUUGGUUUCCUUCACAUAAUUUCAGAUGGUGCUUCAUGGAGGAGCACAUCGAGCGAGACAGGUGGUGAAAGUGUUGAACAGUGAAGGGAAAGUCAUUGCUUAUGCAAAACCUUCAUAUCCAUGGGUAUGUAGUUAUUAAAUCAUAUAACUAGUCAAUCUUUACUUGUAGCUGACCAUAUUGUGCCUAAACACUGGCUGUGUCAUAAACACAGAUAAAGGGAAGUGACACUUCCACUGCAGAGUCAGGAUCUGACGCUGAAGAUAUCGGUUCUCCAAAGGCUAUAAAGAGUUUCUCUCAUCUCCGCUUGACACCUGUUCGUGAGGAGGUAAACUUUUUUUUACUUUCUAUCUUCUAGUUAUAUUUUCAAAUUCUGCAGAUGUUUAUCCUGAGACUUUGCAGGCAAAGAUAGCUGGUGAAACAAGCUUGGCUGGUAGUUAUCCGGGUUAUGAUGAGUAUGUUCCAAUGGUUGACAAAGCCGUCGAUGCAACCUGGAAGGUGAAACCCGCCAUCCAGAGAGUGGCCUCAAGAGGUUAGUUAGCUGUUAUAUGCUUUUUGUACAAGUAGGCUCCGGUUUAGAACCAAAUACUGAAGGAAAAUGAUUGAAAUUUUGUGAAAACACAUCUUAUUAGGAUUUGAUAAUAUCAUAUACAGUAUAUUGGUUCCUUGUUCACAUAGGAUUAUAUAUUCUUAUUAGGAUUUUUUUGAAGUUGUGUUAUAAAAAACAGAGCUUUUUCGGAUAUCUUUGUUCGGUGAUCUUAAUUCUAUCGAUCUGUCUCCUUCAGGAGCUUUAAUGUCUCCCACCAUUCCAAAGGAUCCUGAAGGCAUCAAGGCUCGAGUCCUAGUAAUGUUCAUGGCAUUCUUGAUGGCGGUUUUCACAUUCUUUCGCACAGUAUCUUACCGUGUGACCAAGAAACUUCCAGCGACUACUACUUCCCCACUAGUAACCCAAGGAAACGCAACAGAACUUGGUUCUAAUGGUGAAGGAGUUAAAGAGGAGUGUCGUCCUCCUUCUCCAGUACCAGACCUCACGGAAACCGAUCUCCUAAAUUGUGUGACGAAAAAACUGACAGAGCUUGAAGGUAAAAUCGGAACUCUCCAAUCAAAGCCGAAUGAGAUGCCAUACGAGAAAGAAGAACUGUUAAACGCAGCGGUUUGCAGAGUAGACGCACUUGAAGCAGAGCUCAUAGCUACUAAAAAAGCGCUUUACGAAGCCUUGAUGAGACAAGAAGAGUUACUUGCGUACAUUGAUCGUCAAGAAGAAGCUCAAUUCCAAAAGAUGAAGAAGAAGAAAAACAAGAAACAUCUCUUUUGCUUUUAAAGCAAAAAACCAUCACCAGGCAUCAAAAUCUCUCUCCCCUCUCCUACACAACACAGUUCUUAAUUAGUUUGCUGUUCUUUAAGUAUAAACAACAAACAAAACAAAAACUCUUUCAUUUGACUUGAUGUUAAAGCUAAUACAGAGAGCUCUGUUUCCUUCUUUGAGUAUGAGCCGCUUUAUAUUAUAUAUGUUUAUUUUUAUAAUCAUAUAAAAUCUGUAACGUUAAACUUGUUAAUGCAAAACAAAAAAAAAACAAAGUAUCGAAAUUAUUAAUCAAGAUUCUGUUUUUUUUUUUUAGGAUUUUGGUUUUAUCCAGAUACAAGAUAUUGUAGCCACAUAUCCAUAUAGUGAUUAUCUCUUAACGUUUCUCAAAAGUUUUUCCAUUUUUCAUUACUUCAUCUUUUGUUUUUCUAAGAUCAAUCAGUUUUUUUCUCAGUACUUUUUAUGAAGAGAAAAUGGAGAUAACAAUAUCUCAAUUGUGCUCUCGAGUUAAGUUUUCAUCAUCACUGUUGUGUUUAAAUGGAAACAGUAAGAGGAACAACCUAAAUGGAGCUGUUUCAGUAAAUUGCUUGAAAGAGAUUGAUCAGAUCAGUUAUAUUAGCUUCACUGCGAAGAAACAGAGAAGUCACGCGCCAGUGGUGAGAAAAACACGCGCCUCCUCGGAUGAGAAUCAGUCCCCAACUCCCGGAGGAGAACGGUGGCUUCUCCAACCAGUUGGUCAGAAGCUAUUUGUUUCUUUCUUUAGCUUUAAUAUCACUGAGAUUAUUUAAUCUUUUUGAGUGUUAAAGUUCUAAUCUAUAAAAACUUGCAGGCGAUGGAGACACAAGACACAUUGGUUACAAAGUGGCAAUGCCUGCUCCUUUCGAGAUCACCUCGGUAAGAAAAUAUACAUUCCAGUAGAUAGAUUUACUUUGAUGAGUUUUUUCUAAAGCUCACUAGAAUGGGUUUUGAGCAGGGACAAGUUACCAUCGGACGGCUACCGGAAAAGGCUGAUGUCGUAAUUCCUGUGGCCACCGGUAUUUCUCUGUCUUGUUUCGGUUUUUUUUUUUGAAGUUGUGAUCAAAGUGAAUUUGGUUUUAAUAUGAAUCAGUUUGAUAUAGUUUUGGUUUGAGGUUGAGUUCGAGUUAUAAUCAAAUCUAUCAUUGGUUUUAGUUAGGUUCGGAUUCGGUACUAGAUUUUCGAUUGUAGAUUGUUUGUUUAUUGCUUUAGUUUGGAUUGGAUCCGUCUUGUUAAAUCCGACACUCCUAGUCUUUUAACUGCAGUGUCGGGAGUCCAUGCGACAAUCAAUACCAAUGAAAACAACCUUCUUGUGACGGAUAUGAACAGCACCAACGGUACAUUCAUCGAAGACAAACGUUUAAUUCCUGGUGUUGCUGCUCCUGCCUUUCCCGGAACCCGAAUCACCUUUGGUACACCAGUCUUUUUGUAUGUUUUUCUAUCUCUUUGUGAAUGUGGUGGACCGAUCAAUGAGUUCAACUCUUUGUGUGACUUGCAGGAGACACAAAUCUAGCGAUUUUCCGUGUUUUCAAGCUCCAAGAUAGGGAAGAAUCCACAGAGAAACCAACCACAGAGUAACACAAAACCUGGGAAAUGGCUUCUCUUUACCGGUUUUUGCUGAAAUUCUAAGUUGGUUUGCAGCAUUGUUGAUUUAUUGGGUAAUAUUAUAUAACAAUAUAUAUAAUUUAUAACAUAUAUAUUUUUGUUUUUAGUACGUUACAAAUUAGGUGUGAAAGAAUGAUAAGUGGUAGACAUAAGCUUUCAGAUAUUUCCAGGAACAAAUAACAAAAAAUUUACAGAAAGCAAAUUUCCACAUUUUUAUCUUUAAAAACUCUUCACGAAUAUAUUUAUGUUUAUGUAUAAUAAUUAUAUAUUUCCAGGUUUCUUCAAAGUCUUGAGGCAUGCAUUAUCAUGUCUUUCAGAAUCCGAAGAACUGAAAACAAAACCAAAAUAUAUAUAAAUACGUAAAAUUAAAUCAAAUUUGAAUAAUCUUAAAAAAGAGUGAUUUAAAAGUGUUAGUUUGUUGUUACCUUCUUCUUCUUUUUCUUCUUGUCGAUAUAAGCCAUUAUCUCAUGCUGCGUAGCCAUGGUUUCCUCCAGCGUCUGAUAUUUUUUAACAAAUUAUAAUUGAUUUCAUACCCAAAACAAAAGAUUUAUAAAAGUGGUCUAAAUCUUACAACAAAUAAAAUAGUUUAAACUUUUAUAAAUUAACAAAGUAGCCUAAAUUCCCACUUCUAAACCCUAAAGUCUUAAAUCCGAAAUCUGAAAAUAUAAAUUCCAAAAACUAAACCAUGAAAUCUCUAAAAUCUUUAAUUAUAAACAUCAACUAAUGGUUUAUUUAUUAAAUUUAUAAAGAUGUAGCCUAUUUUUUUAAUUAAGAUAUUUUUCAAAAGUUUAUUUUCUAAUGAUUUCUUUAAUUAAUCUUUGUUAAAAAAAAAAGAUUUUAAAUCAUAAGAAAUAAAAUUUAAAAUAAGAAACUAGUCAUGGAAGCUCUUUAACUGGUACCUUUUUGGUCUGAGCCAACUGAAGCUCAAGCUCGUCGACACGGCUAAGAGCGGCGGUGAGAAUCUGUUCUUUCUCCGGCGAGAAGGCUGCCGGCUGAUUGUCCAAAGACCUACAUUUCUCCUCCAGCUCCGCCAUUCUCUUCACCAUCGACAUAUACUCUUGGUUUGACACCAUUGUAGUCUCUGCUUUCUCCGCUUCGCCACCGUAAAUGGCGGCAUCAGUGAGCUUCCUUGGCAUGUUUUUCGUCAGCCUCACCACGGUCAUUAACCCCAUCAUCAACGACAUCACGCCGCCGAAUAAAUAUCCUUCUCCUCCUCUCCUCUGCGAUGGCUUCACGGCAGAGUAUAAAUCUGCGCCAGCAAAAACAAAUAUAUAGGAAAUGAGUGGUAUGUAUAGUUGAAGAAUAUAGCGGAAUCACUUUUCAAAAACGUGAAAAUAUGAUAGAAUGUUUGGAAUGGUAAAAAAUAACGGAAUCAUGUUUUCAAAACGUGAAAAUAUGAUGAAUGUUUGGAAUGGUAAAAAAUAACGGAAUCAUGUUUUCAAAACGUGAAAAUAUGAUGAAUGUUUGGAAUGGUAAAAAAUAACGGAAUCAUGUUUUCAAAACGAAUAAAUGGUUUACAAAAACCCGGUUUAGUUAAGAAUCAAUGUUUCUGUUUAGUUUACCUUCAGGUUCGGGAUAGUUUGACUUGUGGAGAUUUGUAGGCCAAGUAGUAGCAUUCACAGUUUUGUCAAUCAUCGGUAUGAAUUUCGCGUUCUCUGCAUCGAAAUUGUUCUUCUGCAAAUAGGAUAUUAAAAUCAGUCAAACAGAAAAUCUAGAGAGAAAGAGAGAGCUAAAGAAGUAACCUUAGACAAAGAGAAACUCACCGCAAAGGAAUCACAUUUCUUCAAGCAAAAAAAAAAAACAUAAGAGAAUGUUAGAUAUUAUCAAAGAUCAAAUAUAUUUAUUGAGUUUUGUUUUUACCAUUGUUGUGUUCUCGUCCACUGAGAUUGUCUUCUCUUCAAUGUUUGACAAUGUCUUCCUUGGGCACUUCCCUUCUCCGUUUUGAACCAUCUAUACAUAGUUUAAGAUUCUGCAUUUCAGUUCAUUGUUUCGUUAAGAUUGUCUAUAAUCUUAUAAAGUACCUUGAAGAUGUCAGGGUCGUUCCAUGGACCUUUGUCUGAACGCAUACACCCACCUUUGUCUGCACAAGUGCAGUUACCACCCAAGAACUCAGGAAGUUCACUAAACACAAAAAAAAAAAAAAAACAGAUAGUUUUCAGAUUAUGAAUUUGUAGCUAAAAUUCAGAGUUAUGGAGAGCUCUGUUUCACUCUUACUUGGAGUCGAUAAUCUCAAGAAGCUUGCUUUGAUAUUUGUUGCCAAGAACCUGUACAUGAAGGACAUGAGAUUUCUGAUAACCGUAGACCUUAAAAGAGUGACACAAAACGUAAAAAAAGCUUACGUGGAUCUUUGCGGUGGUCUUUGGGUCAAGGAAAGAUUUCACAGUGCUCCACAGAAGCCUGAAUCCAGAACCAGCGUUGAUAAUGAACAUACGGUUCAAUGUCUAUAUAUGAUCCAUAAACACAAAACAAUUCUCAGUACUGUCUUGAGUUGAUAGUGUGAUAACAAACUACUUUAUAACCAUUAAGAAACAUCAUAGUAACCUCAGGGUAGUUGUCGCUAUCGAUCUUCUGGAUACGCUGAAGAAGAUCCCUUGCAGCCUUACUGAAGUUCUUCAACCCCUAGAAACAACACCAGAAAAAUCACUCGCUCAUUCUCUCUUUUUCUUUGAUCUGAAUAACCAAAACAAAGGUGGUAAAAGACUAGAGAGCAUACCACGCCUUGCACAUCCAAGAUGGUGGUGCUCUGAUCAAUAUGCUUCUUGGCAGCAAUGGAGCAAGCUGGUAAUUUGAUAUUGAAAGUCUUCUCAAACUCUCUCACAUGGUACUUGACAUACCUAUCGAUGGUAGUGACUUGCAUCAGCUUUGUGGCAUCCACUUGGCCUAGCCUCUCUAUGUAAACAGGCCUUCCCUCUUUGUCAACACCAUGGUAACCUUGAGGAUAGUACUUGAGGACUUCGUCUAUUUCCUUGAAAUCAAAGUCCUUUCAAAGAAGAAGAUGAGAAAAAAUCAGACUUUAAUCAAGGAGAAGCAAAAGGGAUAGAUAAAGAAGAUGAUCUUAAAAUGUUUUGCACCUCCAUGAUUGUGUCAACACCAAACUCUUUCCUCCAAUGGAUCAUAUCAGUCCACAUUUGCUUUGCUUUCUCAAGAUCAAACUUCCUUGCCCUCAAAAACCUAAGCAUCAUGUGAUGAUCAUCGUGUUUCGAAGGAAGGAGCUCGUCCAAGAUAAGAGCUUGACGGAAAGCGUCAACAGCUUGAAGCUCUUCAAGAUCAAUGUCGUCAACGAUAGAGACAGACAUGACUCGGCUGUUCCUUCGAGUUCUCUUGGUGAAAGAGUGUUUGAAUUUGUUGGAGGCAUUGAUUGCUUUCUUCUUCAAGGAACAAAGCUUUGUCUUCUUUUCAUCCUCCGAGCCAUCAUAAUCUGCAAAACAAAAACCUUAAACUUUUAGAAUCUUUGCUUAAAAGUCUCCUCCAUUGCAGAAAGCUUCCUCUCCUUACCUAGCUUAUUAUGUCGAUCCAUAUGAGUAGACAUUGUAUCCGUCAUGCUUUAUAGUCUGGAUUUAAGCUUUCUGUUGUCACAUAAAAACCGGUUAAAAUAAAUUCAUAGAAAACUGCAGAAUCCAAUCUAAUGUAAUAAGAGAUACACAUAAAAAAAAAAGGGUUCAGUUUUAGAGAGCUAUUGAAUACAGAGAGUUUCCUUGGCGAACAAUCAAUCGAUGAAACAAUAAUCAGAGACACCCGUUAAGACAUUUGAUAAAACAGGUUUUACGCAUACAUAACAAAAAAGAUUAUCUGAAACAAUCAAAGACAUCAUCUGAAAAGAAAUAAGAAUCGAACCCACAUUUUUGAACAAGAAACAGAAAUGAAAAAUCAGGGAGGUUGGAAACAAUCGGAAUAUUGAAACAUUUAGCGAUUGAGGUUGGUGGAAACUAAUGAAGAAGAAGAAAAGAUAUAAAAGAAGAUGGUUCUUGAUUUACCUAAUAAUUAAGGAUCAAAAGCUAAGGAAAGGAGAAAGAAGAGAGAAAGAGAGGUGUAUAUAAAUCUCUUUCUCUUUCUCUGAGUCUCUCUUACCCCUCAAAAUAAAGGACGGCUCCAGAUUUAGAAUGCGAAAUCUCAGAGAAACAAAUCUAAAAGAGAGAGACAUAAAGCUUAUAAGGGUAUUGAUAAAAAAAGGUUUUACCUUUGUUUUGAAAAUCCAAAGAGAGAGAGAGAGAGAGAGUUUUAGCUUAAUCCAAUAAAAGGGUUCUAAUUGGAAAAAGGUUUGACCUUUACAUUGUAACUUGUAAGAGAGAGAGAGAAAGAGAAGAAGCCAUUUUUGUAAGGAGAAGAAAGGCGCGUGUUUUGCCGUUUUUCUGGUAAGAUAUUUUUGUAAAUGGAAGAGAAAACAUUAUUAUUACUCUUCAAAUUUUUAUUUUCCUAAUGGUACCCAAAUUCGUUUUCCAUCCUAAAUAUUUUUACAAUUAUUAUGAACUAAAAGUAGCUGUCAAAAAUUAUAUGUAUGAACUACUAGUCAUUCAAUUUUUUAAAUAGCUUUUAGUAAUAGAUUUUUGAAGUUAAUACUACUACUCCCUCCGUUCCACGAAGAUGGAUUUUUUGGAAAAAAAAUUUGUCCCACAUAGAUAAAAGUUUUGUUUUUCCAAUGUAAAAUUUAAAACAGUUUACCUAUUUUACCCUUAUUAAAUAACAAUAAAUAAUAUAUUUAUUAAAAUGUGUUACAAUGUUAAAAGGUUAAAAUUUUCAUUAUACAUUAUUUCUUAAAGAAUGUGAAAUUUUUACAAAAUUUAUUUUUGUGGGACGGAAGGAGUAUUUUACUAGCUUUAAUUAUUAUGUAGUACAAAAUUAAAAAAAAAACAAUCUUAGACUAAAAUAUAGAUUUUGAUACUCCUUCCGUUUCGUUUUAGUUGUCGUUUAAGGUUUUCUCACACAAAUUAAGGAAAGCAUUAAAUUUUCUGUUUACCCUUUAUUAAUAUAUCUUAUAAAUUUUUUCAUUGGCCAAAACAUUAAAACAAUAGGGAUAAUACUGGAAUUUUUACCAAACAUUUGCAUUGAAAACCUAAAACGACAACUAUUACGAAACAAAAUUUAAGUCCUAAAACGACAACUAAAACGAAACGGAGGGAGUAUGUUUUAUGAUACAAUUUUUUUAACUACUCCCUCCGUAUCAAAAUAUAAAGCGUUUUGGAAAAACUUUUUUUGUUUCAAAAUAUAAGUCGUUCUCAAGUUUUUAUGCAAAUUAUAUAGAGAAAUUCCUAAAAAUAGCCCUAAAACAAGUUUUAUUGACAAUAAUAGCACAAACUCCAUAAACUUCCAAAAAUAGCACUAGUUAACUUACUAUUAGUGUUUUUGUUCUAAAACUUUUAUCACUAGUUUAUUUUUUCAAUAAUACCACAAUUUUAAUAUAAAAGCUAUUCAACAAAAUAAAUUAGAAAUAAAUUUAAAAUAUUAUAUUUGGGUUCUCUAUUUCCAAUUUAGGGUAUAUAUUUCCACCAUUUAAAAGAGAUUUUGAUUCAUUUUAAUAUUAGUUUAUGGUAUUAUAUUUGGGUUCCCUAUUUCCAAUUUAGGGUAUAUAUUUCCACCAUUUAAAAAAGAUUUUUAUUUUAAUAUUAGUUUGUGGUAUUAUAUUUGGGUUCCCUAUUUUCAAAUUAGGAUAUAUAUUUCCACUAUUUAAAAACAAUUUUGAUUCAAUUUAAUAUUAGAUUAGUGUUUGCUCUCUUUUUUAUUUUCUAUCUUAUAUUUUCAUUAACUUAAAUUGAAGUUUAUGGUGCUAUUUAUGAAACUUUUCAAAUGAAGUGCUAUUUUUGGAAAAAACAACUUUUUUGGGGCUAUUUGUGUCAAUCUCUCAAUUAUAUAUUACUUUUAAUAUUUUAUGAUUAUUUUUAUUAUGCAGUCUCUUUUAUGAUUUGCUGAACUUUUAAAAAGUAAAUAUUCUUAAUCAUCGUGCUUUUAGCUAAAACGUAUUAUAUUUUGAAACAUAGGGAGUAUAACUCUUUAAUGAUUAGGAAGAGAGCUGGUUUUCUUACUUUGAAAUUGUUAAUUAAAAUUUUUUAUUUCCGACAAUAUAAUUAUGAACGGCAUGGCCGAUGGCUUUUGGCUUUCCCAAAUAAAUUAAGAGAAUUGAUAAAAUUUAACAGUUAUCAUUAAUUUUUUCUUCUAGCAUGUCAAUAAGUUAGUAGUAUCAUUUAUUUCUUCCAGCGAAAUGCAAUAAACGGUAUUUAUAUUUUGAUAUAUGGACCGACCGACCAUCAUGAAUGACCCCAAGCUUCCAGCUCCCAUAUUAAUUGACUUUAUAAUAUACACAUUAAUGAUAAGAGUAGACUUUUUUUUUUUUUUUUUUUGUCAUCCGAAAUUAAUUAGAGCUCAAAAGAGCCAUUCCUGAGGAAUAUUGUUUACAAAUGUGAUAUGAAGCGGUUCUGUACGAAUUUUUCGUGCCAGAUGAUCCGCUUUUACAUUAGCAUUGCGAGAAAUUAAAGAUAAAGAGAAGGAUGAAAAUUCUUCCUUGUCGCUCUGGAAUUCCUCCAAGUACACUGAAAACGCCGGCCAUUCGGUUGGAGAAGACACCAUCUUCACCAGAUCAGAACAGUCUGUAAGGAACUCUACCUCUUGAUUAUCUGCACCAAUCAUACACUUCAUCGCCCAGAGAAGGGCCUCGAACUCGGUAUGUAAUGGAGAUAAACUUCGACGGAGAUUUGCAGCUCCCAUGGUUGGCGGCUCUCCGUUUGAUGAUGUACAGAACCAUCCUGUACCGGAGAACUUAUCACUUUCUUUCCACGAUCCAUCUACAAAGCAACGGUAUCCAGAAUAAUUCGAGUCAAGUGAAGUAUUCCCCACUCGAGAACGAUUAACCAAUUCCGCAGUACCAUGAGUUUCAUGAUGAAGCUCAAUUUGGGCUGACUGCCAUAAUUGUGCUUCUUUUUCCGCUUACCGUAAUACCUCUAACGGAUCUUUAUCAAUGUUUUCAAAUAUUUUUUCAUUCCUUGCUUUCCAUAUAUACCAUAUAAUCCAUGGAAAGGCUGAACAGUCAAAUUCCGAAGGUACUCUCCAAAAUAAAUGGUCCAAAUUUGCAAAAAUAGACUCCGUUGGAAAAAUUCCUAUUGUUGUAGGAAUCUGAGAGAGUGCCCAAACCUGUCGUGCCGGGUGGCACUGAAAGAGUGUAUGAUUGAUUGUUUCCACUAGUUCGCCACAUCUAGCACAACCAAUAUCACAUUCAAUUCCCCUUCUCCGCAAAUUUUCCGUAACUGGUACACAACCCGUUAAAAUUUGCCAUAAGAAAUGACGUAUCUUAGGUGGACAAUGCACUUGCCAAGAAUGUGCUUUUAACGGUUUGAUGUCUGGUCCAAUCAAUGAUAAUUUUGUCUCCGAAUUUCCUAACCGUGCGGUAUGAUACCCCGAUUUGACUGUAUAUUUUCCGGAUUUUGUAAAAUGCCAACCUAGUGUAUCCUCCUUAGUUGGUGCACCCACAUGUAGGGCACUUAUGAUGGCGAUAUCUUCUGGAUCAAAGAUCUCUUCUAAGAGAGCAAUAUUCCAAAAGAGUAGACUACUUAUUUAAAAAAAAAUGUGUAUUCUUUUUUUUGUUAAAUAAAGUAACAUUUUUGUAAAAUAAUACUAAAAAUUUCUCAAUUACGAAAAAAACCUCUGAAUUAAGAAAAAUUAACCUUGAUACAGUGAGUUCAACAAAUACUUUAUGUGGUUGAUCUACUAAUCAAAUUUAAAUAAUUUACCUUACGCUAUUAAUUGCAUAUAGUCACACUAUUCUUUUUUUUUUUUGUCAUCUAGAUUUAUUAUUAAUUGCAAAUUAUGAUAACUGUUACAUAAAAGAUUCCACAACUGACAAUUUAUGCCGACCCUUAAUAGAUCCACUACAGACUACACUUCAUUCUUCAUGAUCUUGAUGAAUACCUUCAAUGAUCCACGACCUGACGACACUUCUUUCUCUGCGUAGAAUCUUGGCGCACUGGUAUAAUUGUACAUCGCUGGAGAUCUAUUGCACACUUGCCUCCAUUAAUCUGCAAAUUUGAUAAUAAAUCGCAAUAUCUGGGACUCGAACCCCAGACCUCUUAGUGUAGAAACAUUAAUCAACCCUUAGUCAACCAAUGGAUCAAGGAGGGCUUCCACCAGUCACACUAUUCAAUACUACAAUUUGAUGAGGAAAAAAAAAUUCAAGGGUUAACUUACCAAAAUUUGGGCCUAAAAUGUGAGAGACUAUCUCGAUCGGCCUCAUAGUUUUUUUAAGUGUCAUUAAUCAACUUGAACUUAUUCCACUUGUGGUACUCCAUGAAAUUGCAUACUAUCAACCUAAAAAUCAUGGUAUUAUAUAUAUAUAUAUUCUUUUUUUAAAUUUAAUGUUAAAUUAUAUUCAAGAAAAAAAUAAACCGGUUUUACAACUUAAUGCAUACUGUUUUUAUAAAAAGAAUACAACGCACAUAAAACUCCUUAAUUUCGCCUUGAUGCAAACCAAUCUUGAAUGCCUCAUGCAUAAUUCAAAUCUCCUCCACUCCUAAUUGUGCUUAACCAGUUUCGAAUGUUUUUGUCAAUCAUUUGUACUAGCUUCUCACUUGGGGAUGGUUCUUUGUCAUGCCGUUUAUUAUUCCUCUCUCUCCAAAUGGAGUGAAUUGUAUUUUGGAAGAUGUAUCGCAACAUAAACGACUUUGUCUUGUCAAGAGUUUUAUCGGUGAUCAGCUUGAGUAUAUCCCUCCAAUUUGCCGUGAACUGGGAUAGGAGAAGCCCUGAUGCGAGCUCCUGCCACACAUUUUUGGAGUAAGGGCACACGAAGAACAAAUGGUCUCUUGUUUCUAUAGGAUAUUGGCAGAAAGUGCAGCUCGAAUUUGCUUGUCUGUUCCAUAGAGUUAACAAAUUUUACUUCUUACAUUUAAUUAGAUCUAGUGGGAUUUGUCAAAAAAUUGUCCAUAUUUUAACAUCAAUGUUUAUAGCUUGUAAAUCCAUUUGGACCAUUCUACACUAGUCAUUCUUUAAUCUUAAUUUAAGAAGGAAUUGACUUUGUAAGAGAUUGCAUUAUUAAUUUUAUUUUGUAAUUAUUUGUGGAGUUUUCGAGGAAGGUUUUGCAACUUUUAGGAAAAUCGUUGCUCUUUUUUUUGAAAAUUCUUAAAUUUCAGUACUUCUAAUUCAAGUUGUUUAUAAUGUAAACACAAGUUUCAAGAUUGUUUAAGAUGGACUUAGAUACAUUUUUUUUCUCCUCCUUGUCCGUUGACUGACUAUUUGAGUUUCUUCCUUCGAUUCCAGAUUUGGAUCCAUUCAAGUUUCUUUAUUGCAUAAUUCUAAUCUCUCUUAGAGUUUGCAGUUGAAUAAAAAGCUUGUAACAAGAUCGUGAUAGAUUUCAAGAACUUCCUUUUUCCAUUGAAGUUGUGUUUUUUUGUCAGUCAUUGAAUUCUUGGUUGAUUUUAAAGUUUCAGAAUAUGGCUACUGGUGAGGCAAUGUUUAUCAAUGGCCAAAGCACGGUUUCAGUUACAAGGAGGAGUUACCAAGUUGUAAUAGCGGCGACAAGAGACAUGGGUCUUGGUAUGGACAUGAAACUUCCUUGGGAUCUACCUACAGAUUCUCAGUUUUUCCACGAUGUUACAACUAGGACAACCGAUCCCACGAGGAGGAAUGCGACUAUAAUGGGAAGAAAAUCAUGGGAAUCGACUCCUCUCGAGAUUCGUCCCCUUCCUGGUCGACUUAAUAUUGUCUUGACAAAGUCUAGCUGCCACAACAUUGCCAUUGAUGAGAAUGUGUUGGUGUGUGAUAGCAUGGAAUCGGCUCUUGAACUUCUAGCCACCGAGCCUUAUUCCUUGUCCAUUGAGAAGGUCUUUGUCAUAGGAGGCGGCGAGUUGUUAAGGUUUGCAUCUUUUUUCCACAUGGUUUUUCUAAAAAGUAUAAACUUUGAGACUUUAGAUUUUUGAAGUUUGAUGUCUAGAUGUGGUUAAUUGUUGUGGUUUCUAUAUAGGAAUUAUAUGAAUGCACCCAGCUGUGAUGCUAUCCACCUAACCGAAAUCGAUAUAAGCGUGCCAUGCGACGCAUUUGCACCGAGGGUAGAUACUUCUCUGUACCAUCCGUGGUACUCAUCAUUUCCAAUUGUGGAAAAUGGAAUUCGGUAUAGCUUCAACACUUAUGUCCGAAGAAAAGAUGCCGUUGUUGGAUCCGGUGAGAAGAAAAGUGCUGCUGGAUCAGAUUUCAAGGAGUACUCGUUCUUGCCUAAGAUGGUUUUCGAGAGGCAUGAUGAGUUUGGUUACUUAAAUCUUAUUCAAAACAUUAUAUCUAGUGGAGACAUGAAUGACAACAAUACUCUUACCAAAUUUGGCUGUCAGGUUAGCUUUGCUCCAUCUUUGUUAGUAUCUUUCUCCUUUAAUUGAGCUUACAUGUUCUUAUCUCUUGAUUUGAUUCAUUACAGAUGCGGUUCAAUCUGCGCAAGACUUUCCCGCUUCUCACAACCAAGGCAUGUCUUCUUUUAUUCACAUCUCAUAUCAAGUAGUUCACCUUUAUUUGAUCAUAGAGAUUAAUUUUGUCGGUUUUUGUAUCCAUCGUCCUGCAGAAAGUAUUCUGGCUAGGCGUUGUAGAGGAAAUCCUUCAACUUAUCAGUGGUUCAAUCAAUCCCAUGGUAAAACCAAAAGAGACCUAUGUGCUAUACUACACAGUGAAUGACAAUGAUCAUGCCCAAAAUCCUUGAGUGCAAGAUUAUGUUUUCUUUGGUUAUAUAUUGAUAAAGAACCGAGAGUGUGACAUAUUAUAUCUCAUAAUGUUCUUACAGGAAAAGGGUAGUAAUAUAUGGGACAGCGAUGAAGCUAAUGAAUAUCUUAACAGGCAAGCAUAGAGUUUAGAAUUUAAAAUGUAGUUUUACUGAAACCAAACUCACAUUGAUGCUUAUGUUCCAGUUUCGGAGUGAAUGCCACAGAAGAAGAUGGAGACCACCAACACUUGUAUGGACUCCAAUGGAAACAUACUGAUGCUAGGUUUGUGGUUAUCUCGUCUUUGAAUGAUUGUUCAUAUGUUUUGCUUCUUUAACUAAUUGUUCAAAAAUUCAGUCAGCUCUCUGAUGUUAUAAACAAGAUAAAGAACAAUCCUCAUAAUCAAAGAAUCAUGCUUUCGGCGUGUAAUCCUUCAGAUUUAAAGUUGUCGGUAUCUCCUUGUCAGACGUUCGCACAGGUUAGCACGUUUACCGUCUGUUUUGUUCAAGUCGUAAAACUUGUUAUACAUUUCCAUUGUAAAUCAUUUCAACGUUUCAAGAUAUACAAAAUUGAAAAUGGUUUAGUUUUGGUUAUUGUUGGCAGUUCUAUGUGGCAAAUGGUGAACUUUCUAGUCAAAUCUACCAGAGCUCAACAGAAGCGAGUAUCGAGAUUCCUUUCAGUAUCACUACAUACUCUCUUUUGACAUGCAUCAUUGCUCAUGUUUGCGGUAUGUAUACAUUUUAUUAGAUCUUGAAUCUGGAGUAAAAGAAUGAACCAUAUGCGAGGUUUCUUGCGUUGACAGAUCUUGUUGCUGGUGAUUUCAUCUAUGUGAUUGGACAAGCCCGUAUUAAUAAAGCUCGCGUCAAGGCUAUACAAAAACAGCUUCAAAUCUCCCCCAAACCGUUCCCGGUAAGCACUAUCACAACUCGUUCAUAUAAACCUUAUUUUGCUCUCUCUCAAAUCAGGAAACUAUAUAACUUCUUCUGUCUCUCCAAUGUAUUAACGGUACAAACAGAUUUUAAAAAUCAACCCUGAGAAAAAAAAGAUGGAUAACUUUGAGGCCUCAGAUUUGGAACUCCUGGGGAUAUGACCUGCUUCACAAAGACUCUUGUUGAUUUCUUCUUUUCAUUACAUUUACUAGAUGAACAAAGUUACAGAAAACUUAUACUUCAUAAUAUAUAUAAGAUGAACAAAAUUAUACAAAGAAACAAAAAAAAAAAGAAAAGCUAAAACAAGAUUUUAUGCUCGGGCAUUGAAAUAUUUUUACCCGUAUAUAUACAAACACUCACAAAUAUAUAUAUGUGAAUGCUAUUUUGCAUAAACCAAAGUUUUUCUUUCUUUUUUUUUUCUUUGCUUUUUUUUAGUAUUUUACAUUGUAGAUGAUACAAAAUUACUCUUCAUCCUUUUGGUUCCUCCUCUGUCUCGCAAUGAAAGACUCGAUCUUGUAUCGUAGUUCCUCAUCCGAAACAAAUUCAUCAGCAGGUCUCUCUGUCUUCGAUCUCUUCAGUUUUCCACAAGUACUCUUCUUCGAGCCCUCCUGAUUCUCCGACCGACUCCUUUCGUAACUCUUCAUUGGGCUUUCCUGCUUUUGAGCAAUGAUUUGUCUGUGUCUCUUCACAGUUAUGUCCUCCUUCUCUCUCUCUUCACCACUGUUCUCAGUCUUCUUUUGUUUCUCUCUCUUUUCUUCAGUGCUCUGUUUUGCCCUGUUCUCGGACAUGCUCUGUUUUGCUCUGCUUUGUCUCUUAUCUUCGAUGCUCUGUUUUGCUCUGUUUUCUUCAAUGCUCUGUUUUGCCACACUCUCUACUUCACUCGGUUUUUCUCUGCAUAUCACAUCGGUGUGUGAACUCCGUUCUCCUCUUGAGUUCUCCCGAACAAACUCGUCGUAAAAAUCAUUGCUAUUUCUCCGUGCAUCAGUUUCUUGAUUCGCAAAGAACCCGCACUUGAAGACUAUAGCGAUGACUAUCGCAUUCCCCAAGACGAAAGCAAGGUGACGGUUGAUGAGAAGACCCGCGAGACCAGAGCUCUCGAACGUGAUAACUAGUUGGUAACAGAGCUUGGCUACUGUAACCAUAACUAGGGUUAUCUCGAUCACCCGGUAAAACAAAUCUAAGAGUAUUUGAGCCCGAGACUUCUUCACAACAACCUUCAUCUUUCUUGGUUUAGCCUUCUGAGUACUAAGCGAAUCCAUUGGCGUUUAAAACAGUAGAAUCAGAAGGAGAAAGCUUUGUAACUUGGUUUUAAACGUCUUUGAAGAUCAAACAAAUUUGUCGUCAAGAAAAAUUGAUUUUCAGUUUGUGGAGCACAAAAAAACAGAGAGAAGAGUGUGUGAGUCUGUUUUUUUCUCCUUGUUCUUGUGUUAUUUUUUAGCUUGAGAGAAGGUAACUUUGCAAUGUGAGUAUUUAUAAAGAGGGUCACUGAGUGCAUUUGCUUUCUUUUUCCACGAACCAAUUCUUUUUUUUUUUUUUUUCCUUUUUCAAUUGAAUUAAAGUUAUUAUGUUCUUAUAUUCAAGAAAAGUUAAUUGAUCUUUCACCCUUAAAUGAAUCAUAGUCUUGUGUCCUAAUAUUUACAUUUGACUACUUGAAAAAAAUGAUAUAUUUAUCAUCAAAUAUAUUGCAGAAAAAAAAUAUAUGCAAAUUUGUAACUCAAUAUCGGUGUAAAUGAUACCAUAACUUGACAUUAUGAUUAAACACAAGUUUAGUGAUUUACUUUUCCUUUAAAAUUAAAUGUCUAAACUUGUGAAAAUACAAACACUUAUAUUUUAACAAACCAAAAAAACAUAUAAAACUUGUAAAUAACAAUGCUAAAACAAUCACACCAAAUGCUGUAAUGUUUAGUGAUUUACUUUUCACAAGUUUGACAUUUAAAACUUUAAAAUAUUUUUUUUUGGACAAAUAUCUAGUUUAAAGAAGAUUAGAAGUAAGUUAUUUCGAAGAAGAAAAAUCAGAUGAUGAGAAGCUAAUGAUUUUGAACCGAAUAUUUUUGGAAAAAUAAAUGUAUAAUUAAUUAUUAUAUAAUUUUAAUAGGUAAUUCAAAAUUGUGGUUCACUCUGUUAUAGUAUGCCAAUCAAACAAGUAACAAAUUCACUUUCUUAUAAAAUACUAUUUGGUCAUAGAAAGUGUGCAGUUCCUAAAGGAUUUGUUAGUUAAAAAGCCAUGCUUCACUUGUGAAACAAUGUAAAACAAUCUAUUUUCUAUAAUUCUAAUAUUACCAUUUGUUGGUUACGGAAUAUACAUUUUUCAGUGAAAGUGAAAUUUUAUGCAAAGGCAGAAAUAUUAACUCUACAUGUAGUUGUAGUUAUAUUAGAAGCAACAAAGUGAAAUAAUUUUAACUAUGGAAACAAAAACAAAUAUACUACUUGUCAACAAUGGUUUUUUUUUGAAUAUAAUGUUAAAUUAUAUUAAAAAAAAAUAACGUUUUUACAACAAGUGCGACGAGUAGUUGAGAUUAUUUAAACAGAAAGCUGAAAAUCAACUUGGAAUGGCUAAGAAAUUAGGAUCGGCUUUGAAGCCAAGCUUGGAAGCAUGCUUCAUAUCAAGUUAAGAAUCAGAUAACAAUGAUCAGAGGAAUUAAGGAUCGCCGAUAUGAAGCUUGUCAACAAUGGUUGCAUAUAAGAAUACCACAAAUUUAUCAAAUCAUUGUAAUUAAGUUGUAAGUGACUCAAAAUUUUCUUUAUAGAUAGAUGCAAAUUCGAUAGAUACUUGCGUGUAUGUGUGGGAUAUUUUCACUAAGUUAUAAUUAAAUUAGUUAUCACAUUGUUGUUUCAUUGGUAAAAAAAUAGCUUCAUGCACUAUCUUCAUCCAUUUGUAAUUAUUUACUCGAGUCAUAAAGCAGCCCACCAUUAGUUUUGUAUGUCCAUUUAAUCUCUUAAAAUAAUGCGUGUCACCAUAUUUAAAUAAAUUUUGUUGCUAAAGUUUUUAGGACUUGAAUGAUUGGUACAAAGUAUGGCUAUGGUGCCAAAUAAAAACACUUUAGGAUAUUAAAUAUAUACUAUUAAUGAAAUUUAAAAAAUCUGUAUCAUCCUUCUUAUUUCCACCCAAAACAUGCUACUUCUCCAAUUCAUAAUUUAAAAUAUAGAAGAAACCAUUACUUCUUCACUAAGAGAUUGAGAAAUGGCCUAUACUUCCACAACUUCUCUUUGUUAAUGUGUUUCUUUAUGUCUUGUCUCUUUCUAACCAAAAGCAUGUAUAUGUGGUUUCAUUUCAAUUCUAAUUUUUGUUAUUGGAUACACUUUGAACAAAAAUUAAAGCCCCACUUCUUUUUUCAUAAAAGACAUCUUCAUAAUUGCUCAUGAGUAUAACGUGUCGUUCGAUGCUUCAAUCAACAUUAUGCAAAUAAUGAAGUGUAUAUGUCUACGUGUUCUAACUUCUUAGACAUAAAUCACACUUAUCCAUAAAAGUUAACGUCUAAUUUCAUAUUAUCAACCGAUUUAGAUCCUAAUUAUUUUGAGUUAUAGUCUUCAAAAUAUCUUGAACCUGAAAUUUUCAAUUAAUCACAUACUCAUUCGUGAAGACCGAUACGAUCACUUAAACUUGCAAUUAAUGGUUCUAUUUGUGUAAUCUCUGUUAGGUUUGUAUUUUUGUUUCUGGUAUAACAAAUUCUAUGUAAAUUAGUUUAAUAUAUACAGCUUCAAUUUAAGUAUACAUUAAUUUGUCUAAAAUAUAUUGUAAUUUUUUUCUUUAUUAAUUAUUAAAUAUAUUGUAAUUUUUUAAAUUAGGUUUUUGUUUUUUUGUUUUGUUUUUCCAGUGUGAUUAGAUAGUUUUAGACUUUUAGUAUUACUGAAAAACUAUUUUAACCAAACGAAAACUCAAUUCCAUUUUUUCUCUAGUAGCUUUAUUUUAUUUUUGUUCAACCUCUAGUAGCUUUAAUUUAUCCGGAUUACAUUUCAAAAAACAUAACUAGUAUUAAGCUAAAAGCUUUUUUGGAGCUCAGCCACAAAUGAGAAAUACAUCUCUUUUUCACAAAAAUAUCACGCCAAAAAAAAAAAACACUUUAUAAAUUAGUAAUACUACAGAUAUCGUUUUUGAGUUAUUUGAUUCAUAAUUUAAUACUAUAAUUUUUCCUUUUGUAUAGAGAAAUGAUUGGACCUCAUGAGGCACAAGAGUAAACUUUCUUUUACAUAAAAUGUAUAAGUGGGCCUUUAAAAAUCUAUGGACUGUUUUCUUCUAUCUAUGAUUUGAACUUAGGUUUAUAGAUUAUGGAGCUUUACUGCAAACAAACUAACACAUGAAUUCAGUUGAUGAAAUUCUUGUUAUAAUGUUAUUCUAAGAAGAAAAAAAUGUAUCCUUAGCCAAAAACAAAAUUUAUAUUAUUCAUUAAGAUAUUAAUUAAUGUGACCCCUUUUCUGGUGGCAAAUCUAUAAAGAACCAGAAUCUGAGUUUCGUAGUUUAUAUAUCGCUUUUGUUUAUCCACCAUAUGUAAUUAAUUCUCAAGUUGUUCAUAGAGAUUAAUUUAAAAUUUGUAUAUCUUUUUAAAUGAAUUUUAAAACAUUUAUUUCCUCCAUGGCAUGUGAGUGCAUAUUCAGUGUCACUAAACUUAUUUAUCAAGGGACUGACUACACUGUGUAAUUGCCUAUACUAUACCAAAAGUCUUUAAUAAAAAUAUAAAUAUAUAUACCAAAAACGACAAACAGUUUCACUACCACAGAAAAAAAUGAAUUUUAUCCAGAAAGCAAUUUGUCCAUGCAGAGGAAAGGAAAGUACUGCACAAUAUUAUUUUUUUUUUUUUGUGAAAAAAAAAAAUUAAAGUAAGUUAUUUGUAUAACGUGACAAGAAAAAAAAAAACUGAUUUCCAAAAAAAUCCGACCUGCCGGAAUCGAACCAGCGACCUAAAGAUUACAGCAGCUACUACAGUCUUCCGCUCUACCAACUGAGCUAAGGUCGGUUUUUAAACUCCUAAGAUAAUAAAUUUAUAUAAAGGAAAGUUGGGCCUAUAACGCUAAGAGAUCUAUUUACUCUAGACGUAAAGCCCAUUUCAUGGGGAAGUUUCAUCCAAAUAAAGUUCUACUUCUAUCCAUAUACAAGGAAGAUUCACAUAAUUACUGUGACAUACAAGAUGCAUUCAUAAGUCAUUUAUAUUAGGUUAAUAGUUUCAAUAAAAAAAAAACGAAUGAAGUAGUUAACACUACAAAAAAAAUGAGUGUAUUGUAUCAUUUAAAUUGUAUACAAAACGAAAUGAUGUUAUUUUAAACUAUUGUUUUAUAAAUAAAGCAAAUAUAUAUGGUUUAGCAUCGAUUAUAUUAUUAACUAAUGUUAUAAUUAACUAGUUUGACAUCGAAUAAAUAAAAUAUUCAAUUUCUAUUAAUUAGUUUGUAUCACUUUAAAAAAAAAAACUGAUUUAAAAUAUAGAUUUACAUCAUUUAGAUAACUGAUGUAUCUAUAAAAAAAAAUUGGUGAAAACACUUUUUAAAAUGAUACAAAAUUUACAUCAAUAAAAAAUGAUAUUUAAAUAAAUUAUAUAUAUAUAUAUAUAUAUAUUUAUUUAUUUAUUUUUUUAAAGAGGGUAACCUAAAAAAAAUCAAUAAAUAAAUUGAGAUCAUCAUCAGGCUUCUAAGCUUUAAUUAGAGCUAGGGUCUUUUUUCUCUGGGUUUUGGACGCAUAGGCAUGACCACGGUUACGGUUAUUGCGGUUACGGUUUAUUAACCACCGGUUAUGGUUAUAAAUUUUCUCUAACCGUAACCUUAACCACUAUAUAUACGGUUAAAACGGUUAAGGUUAAAUACGGUUACGGUUACAACGGUUACGGUUAAAUACGGUUACAAUAAUUUAAUUAUUACGAUACGGUUAAUAUCAAAGACAAAAGCUUGGAAUUUUAUUUACCUUUAGAAUGAAAACUUUAACGAUAAUAUAUCAAAUAAUAUUUAUUUUAUAGUAUGUAAUAUAUGUGAUUAUAUGCUUAUAAUAUUUAUAGUUAAUUAGCUAUUUUGUUUUGUUAAGUAAACCAACAAUAACUAAAUAAAUGGUCAUAAUUAUAAAGAUUGACUUAUUGUCUUAUUGUCUUAUUCCAAACAAUACUAUAGAAAGGAAGUUGUGAGAAUUAAGAAACGAGUACCUGAGUAUAAAUAAUAACUAUGUAAACUAUUUAUGAUUUGAUUUAUGAAAAAGGAGUAGUGGAGUAGUGAAGUUCAUUAAAUUUAAUAGUGGAAUAAUUAUGUAUUUAAAGUUUUAACUGCACGGUUAAUUAUUCGGUUAACCGUGUGGUUAACCGUACGGUUAACUAACGGUUUUGAUACGUUUACGGUUAAUUAACGGUUACGGUUAGUAUAUUUUUUAACCGUAACUAAUCUAUUUUUAUGGUUAACGGUUACGGUUUUUAACCGUUUUAUACGGUUACGGUCCGGUUACGGUUGAAAAACGGUCCGGUUACGGUCCGAAAUACGGUUACGGUUAGCUUUUGGUCAUGCCUAUGGACGCAAAUUGCUUCAUUCAUCAUCAAGUAAGUUUUGUGAUGAAUCAUUGAUUAUAGGAUCAGUCAUCAGCUAUUGCCACUAUUCAUCUCCUUUAUCCUAGUUUUAUUUCUCUGUAAUUUAUAACACAAUUUUAAUUUGUGUUAAACAGAUACAUGAACUUAGCAAAGGAUAUAUCCACCUCGAUAGUAAACACUCUGAUAUAUACUACAUCUUUGUUGAUACAUCAAUUUGGUUUUAGUUUAGUCUGUGUCUGGUUCUUAAUUAGAUUAUUGGUUCUCAUGGUACAUAGAUUUAUUCCUAGAUCUAAAGGUAUUGAAAUUUAAUGUAUGUUUUGUGAAUUUCUUAAGUUUACAGAUUGUACAAAUCAUUAUUUCAGGUUUUGAUGGAUAAGUCAUGGAUAAACAAACCACGUUUAUCUCAAGAUUACAUAUUAGGGGUGAAAAGUUUCUUGGAUUUUGCUUUUGGUAAAUCAAAAGCAUACAUGAUGAAAUGUCCAUGUAACCGUUGUUCUCUCGUCAAAACUAAGUCAAGAGAAGAUAUCGAAGGUGAUUUGAUGUGGUUUGGCUUUUUAAGUUCUUAUACAAAUUGGGUACUACACGGAGAGGAUGUAUGUCUAACAGGAAAUGCAAGAGUACCUUGUGAUAUUGCUUCUGAUAGUAGUAGUCUCAAUCUCUGGUCAGUUUUCUCAUGUUUAACAAUGCAACAAUGUAAUUAUUGAUGGAAUAAACUAACUAAUUUGAAAAAUGCGCAGAAGUGGAGGCUUGGGAAUGCAUGAAGUCGACGAAAAUAUUUCCGGUAGUGAAUAAUUAAACAUUUGACUGCGAUCACGAACACUACAAGAAAUAUCUACAUUAUUAGCAAUAGAGAAGAGCUAUUAUAUGUCAUUAAUAGCGUUUUCAUAAACGUUGUCUUAUGCCCCUGUUAUGGUAGACCCCCACAUACGAUAGCGUUUUUAGAAUGCUAUGGUAGACCCCUACUUACGAUAGCAUUUUUGUAUUAUAGCAUUAGUCGAAUGCUAUAAUAUAUUUUAUUAUUACACACAUUUAGUGUUGUUUUAUAUAAUGUCGUAAAAUUUUCUUUCGCUAUAUAAAUUUAAUUUGAUUUAUAAAAUAAAAUUUAUAUUGGAACCCAAUUUUGUAAAAUUUACUUAUUGGACAUAUAUAUAUAUAUAUAAUGUUUAUAUUUUAUAAAUCAUCAACAAGUAAUAUUACAUUACAAAAAACAAGUCAUACAUAACAUUGUAUUAAGUCUUAUACUAUUUUACUAAAUUAUCGCCUAGUCUUAAACAAACUAAAACUAACAUCAUAUAUUAAACGAUAUAGUCAACUUUCUCCUUGAACUUGACUCCCAUCUCUUCAACCAUUCUCUCGUAUCAACAGCUUGAUCAAAUUGUAAAACAAACAAUAUGUGAUUAAGCAUUAUUUCAAACUAAUAAUUCUAUUUGUACAGAUACGCAAACUUGAGAUAUAAGAUUUGGUAGAGGAAAGAUAAGGAACCUGAGAACUCUUUUGCAGCUCCUCCCCGAGUGACAUUUCCUUCUCAUACUCAUCAAGCUCCUUCUGCAGCUACAUAGAGAAAAACUGAUAUCAAACCAAGAACUUGUUCUCUAUGUUUCAUCUGAUAAGUUUUAAAACAUAGAACAGAUAAUAAACACAAUAUUCAUCUGAAGCAAUGGACUGUGAGUAGAGAAAAAUAAAUAGGAACAUACCGGGAAUAAGGUGAGGACAUAAGCAUCUACAGUCACUCCCAUACACAUCACAACACCAAGACUGAACAAAAGCAUACAUUAUACAUUAUAGAACAAAAGUUGAGAACUACAAUAAGCCAGAUAUAAGGAAUUAAAUCAUUACCCGAAAAAGUUGAGAAUUCAAGGAUCUGAUCUGCCAAGUUUUCAGCACAAGGGGCUGAGUCAUUAGGAAAAAUUGGAGCAGCUCCUAACUGCAAGAACUCUUCGUGAAGAUACAAGAAAAAAAGAGAAAUUAUGUGAGUAAUCACGACAAGCAAACUAUAAGGCAAGAAGCAACGAAAACAUUAACAAAUUCAGUAAAACAGAGAUUCUUCAGACUUACGGUUUAAGGUCAAAUCAGGAUAAGUAAUCAAUGGUCGCUUUUCUCUAUCUCCAAAGACAAUGACAGACACAACACCACUAGCAGUUAUAACACGAUGCUCAUGAACACAAGAAACCAACAAGUUUUAACAAAAGUAACGGAUCAUGAAACCAACAGGAAAAAACUAAACUUUUAACCAUACCAUUGUUAAAGGUCGAUCUUGAUUCUCAGAUUAUAUGGAUCUCCAUGGAAGACAUCAGGAACCACGACAUAUAAUCCAGAUCUGCAACCUUCUCAGCAAGUUUCCUAUCACAAUAAAACCAUAAAACGAAGACAAGUUACAAAAACAAUUAACCUAAGCAUUGAGCUAGAGAAAGUAACACAAAUAUGGCAAAAAAAACAAAUAAAUCUUCUCAUAAACCUUCAUAUCAAACGAGUUCCUUCUCCCUCUCUCUCUCAACCAAUUUCUCAACCCUUACCUUCUUCCUAGCCUUAGCCUCCUCCUCUUGAUCCUUAUCUCUAUUUCUCAUAUCCGGUUCACGAUCUCGUUCACGACGACCACGCUCAUGGUCUCUCUCUCGCUCUCGUUCUCUGUCUUUAUUCCUAUUGCAGUCUCGAUCUCGCCCUCUAUCUCUCUCCCUGUCACAGUCACGUUCUCGGUCCCGAACUCCGUCUCGAUCCUUGUCCAGAUUGGUGUUGUCUGCAUUGGAGGAAUCGACCGAGUUCGUGAACCAAGCUGGAGACUGAAGGAUAAUGAAGAGAUGCAAAAUGAGGCCGGCGGCGAGCUCACGGUGGAGUCGGAGUCGAUGAGAACCUAGGUUUCGAUUUGGGGGAAUUUUGUUUUUUUUUUUUGUCGUAAACAGCUAGUAAGUUUUUUUUGGCUUUGGCUAUAAACUAUAACACUUAAAAUUUUGGUUUCUGAAGUUUAUGGCGCUUAAGUGAAAUUUUCAUGUAAGUAUUGGCGGAAUAAGUGAUUUUCGCUUCUGAUUUGGUGAUUUUUUAUUUUAGCGUUGUUUUAGUGCUAUAUAUAAUAAUCAAAAAAUAAAAUUCAUCUAUCAUAACAGUUACGGAAAAUGAGCUAUCGUCAGAUGCUAUCAAUGUGGAUAUUUUUUGUAGUGGAAUGCAGUAAAUGGAGAUAUGGGACCAUGGAGAUUGCAAAUAAUAUCUAAACGGUAGCCUUUGCACUUGUUCCUUGAACUGCUGAUCAUAUACGUUAUGAUCAGGAAUCGUAACUUUUGGUUUACAAGAUUGCAUUGUGAUAAUCAAUGACAAUACAUUUGUUCUUUGUGUUGGUGAUUACAAAUAGAAAUACUUUAAACUUCUCGCUUUAGUGUGGGAAUUUUAUUAGUUAGAAAUUAGUGAAAAUUACCCAGUUUGACACAAAUUUUGAAACUAAUUGCUAGAUUAACACUCAAAAUUUGUGGCUAACUAGAAUAACACAAAUUUGGUAUAAAAUGACCAAAAGCCCAUUUCGUUUUCAUUUCAGUGUUAAAAAAAACAUAUAAAAUUAAAUUAAAAUUAAUAAAUAAAGAAAACAUUUGUCUUCUUUCUACCCUAAUCUCUCGACUUCAAUUGUUUUUUACAGCCGACGACACAAACAAAGAAAAAACAAGUCAAGACUUCUCACAUUGAACUCCACUUCUCCGUCGCAUAUCUCGCCACCGCCGAUUAGAGGAGAGUAGCCAUAAACGCCAGUGCUCCUUCUCUGGAGAAUCUGCCGUCAAUUUCAGCGUUCGGCGACGCUAGAGUCUCCGGCGGUUUUCAUUCUCCGGAGGUUCUUUAAAUUUCCGGCGUUCGGCCCUUCCACGUCGACCCGUCAUCUGCUUUGCGAGUGCUUCUUCCUCUAAUCCUCUCCUCUUGUCACUGUUUCCUUCCUUCCUCCAUUAACGACAUUAUCCUUCUCAAUUGACAAUCCGUGAGUUUAAUUUCUACUCCCAUGGUUGAAAAUUGGUUUUUGAUUUGCAAUUGAGAUUGAUUUUGAAAGUAAUCUAAUGAUUUAUUGGUUCUUUGUUUGCCAACAUCGCAUCGAGGAGAGCAGCUACAGACGUCGUUGAUUCAUCAAUUGGUUUUAUUUCUCGUCUUCGUCUUUCUUCACACAGUCUCAAUUUAGACAAUUGGUGUGUUUUCUUGUUCGAUUCUUAAAAACAAAAAAAAAACUCUCUUUCAAUUUUCAAUAAUUAAUUUUGAUUGGCACUUCUUUUGUUUGUUGCAGAUCUCAUUCGUCAAUAUAAUUUGUGGCCAAAUUCAUAGAAUUCUAAGAUUCUUCAUUAUUCAGGUACGGAUUGUGGUCUAACGCACUAUGCACAAUGAUGUCACCUUAAUCCAAUAAUGUUUUUAGUCUUUGGUCUCCUUUUACGUUUUAUAUUUCUAAAGAUAAUGCCCUUCCUUCCUUGUUUGAAUUCCUUUACGUCUUUUAAUUGUUUUGGACUUUUGCUCACAUGUUAACAACAUUCUCUUAAAUUCUGCUAUUUUGAAUCUCAAUUGUUAAUUAAAUUUUAGUUUGCUCACAUAUUAACAACAUACGCUACAGAUUAAUGUUAUAUUUGUGUGUAUUGUUUGUGGAAGCUUCUUUUGCCAUUGGAUUAGUAUGAGUUAUCACAUGUUUUCUUUUCCAUUGUUUAGAAAAUCUUCUAUUAGUUGAUUGAUUUAUUGCUCAUUUUAUUUGGUGUUUUGUUUUAUUUUUUGUCUGUUUAGCAAUGGCGUCUUCGAGUAAUGUCUCCAAAUAUGCUAUUAGUUUAUUAGCUGAAUCUAUUGAUCUUGAAAUGAAAAAUGAUCGUUAUAGCCACUUUUAUUGUGAUCCAAUAUUAGAGAUUUGGUGACAGCUUUUUGGAUUAAUUCAUUUGGUUUUAAUUUGUUUUGCAUCAGAUUUGUUUUAAACUAUAUAUUAGCUGAUUGUAUUAAUGCUCUUACAUGCUGAUUUAUUAUUUUGAUAAUCUUCAGGAAUGACGUCUUCGAGUAAUGUCUUCAAAUAUCCUCCUCGUCUAUAUGCAGAAGGAAAAUCACCUUUGCAACAUAGAAGCAUGAACCACAAUUGUUAUCUGUCCAAGAAUGGUCUCAUCAGAGAAGGAUUAGGUCUUGAUGUGUGGGAUGAAUUGGAGAAACCAUCACUAGGUGUGUUUAUUAAGCUAGCAGAACUAGAGUACACAUGGGCUGCCAAGAAAGUACAUCUUUGCAGGGUCGUCUCUGUUUCAGUAUCACGAUUACGAUUUUGUUUUUCGUGUAGGUAUAUGACAUUGUGAUUCUGUAUUGAUUUUUAUCCCGUUCAUGAUACUAAUCUCAUACGUACGGAACCAAAAUCAAUAAGGUGCAAUAGUAUAAAUCCAACGGAAGUGAACCAAUAAAUCGUCAAGCAGAAAAUGCUAGAACAAACAAAUGUAACAAGAUGAAACUUAUCAAUAUAACACAUCGUAAUAGUUCAUCACAAAGGACAUAACAAGAAAAUAAAAAAAAGAUGUCUAUGAAGGGCAUGUCUUACGAUUAUGUCCUACUUGAUUGCAUUUACCACAAGUGUAUUGUUUCUUUGGUUUUUUCUUUUCCAUCACAAUCUCCAACGCAGAUUUAAUUCAUAGAUCCAACUACCACAUACGAGAAUCAUCUGAUCCAUAUCCAAUCCAUUGCCUUUGCUGUGUGACAUUGUUUUUCUCUAAACCCAGACACGAGAACAGAAGAACCCAAAAUCGAGAGAAAAAACUCAAAAAAAUACGUAAUUUGCUUAACCCCAAUAGGAAAAAAAUGAUGAAAUCGAAAGAAACCCCAAAAGGAUAAAACCUAACAGCUCCACGUUUGAGAAAAGAAAACAAUGAAGGCCACGUUUUUUUCACAAAAACCCUAGAUGUCGACAUUUAAUGUUUUAGUGGUAAAUAUGGUAACUGCUCUAAUAAGUCUGUCAUUACAAUUAAAAAAAAAAAAAAACUGUCACCACUGUAAAUAUUAUUAUAGGAAAAAAAUCUGUCAAAAAAAAAAAAAACCUGUCAUGAAAGGGUUUCAUAAUUACAAAUCUGUCGCAACAUACAACAUUAUAAGGUCAUUCUAGCAAUUCUUUCAUUAAUUUAACAAAUCUGCCAUCAAACGACAGAUUUGUGGUAAUAUAAUUUAAUCUGUCAUAACAUAAAACAAGUCUGUCAUAACAAAAAAAGAUUAUAUUUUGAAAACAAAUCUGUUGUAACACGAUAGAUUUAUGGUAACAUUAUAAAAAUCUGUCAUAACAUAGAACAAAUCUGCUACCAUUAGAGGUCAAUCUAGUAAUUAAUUUUAAGUCAGCAAAUCUGUCACAACAUGACAGUUUUUUUUCGAAAAUAAUAAAUAUGCCGCUUCUUACAAAUUAAAUCAGCCAGACAUUACAAUAAGUCUGUCACAAAUUGUUCAAGUCUGUCACAAAUUGUUCAAGUAUGUGAUUGAAUGAAAAAAAAUCUGUCAAGGAAAACAAAUCUGCUAAAAUUUUGUAAGUCUGUCGUAACCAUAAUCUAAGAAAUCUGUCAAGUAGAUAACAGAUUUUUCUAAAAUUGCUGGAAGUUUUUAUGUAGGGUAUUUUUGUAUUAUUUUUUUUUUUUUACACAUGAGACAAAGGUAUUUUAGGUAUGAAAAUAACUCAUUUAACCCCAAAUUAUUUGUGAGUCAAUCUAGUAAUAAAACUCAAAAUUUGGGUUAAUCUAGUAACUCUCCCUAGAUAUUAUGUUAGGAAAAAUCUUUAUAUUUGCAACAUUAAAUUAAUAUCUAGAUAUUAUAGUAUGAUAGAGCUUAAGAUAAAGAACAUAUAUCUAGAUACUUUUAUAGUUUGGGAGCAAAUAUCUUUUCAUCUACUCAUUUGCAAUUAGAUAGAAAAAAAGUAGAAAAUAUAGAAAAAGUGAAUCAAAGCAGAUUGAUAAUUAAAAGAAUAUUCUAUAUUCGUAAGUUCUCUCAAUUAUGUUCUAAAUUUUCCAACGUUUCUCACAUUUUCUUCAUAACCAAUCCAAUGCAUUUGGGAAUUGUGUAACUCACCAUAAUUUAAUUGGGCUUAAUGAAUAUUGUGGGUUUAUAAACAUUAAUGGGCUUGUUGAAUAAAAAACAUUAAUGGGCUUUCUAGGAGAAAUGGAGCCUCUUAACGCUGAGAGACUCGUAAACCCUAAUAUAUAAACAACGAAACCAAUUCAUUCUCACUGUCGUCUCCUCUUGAGCAUCGUCUUCCUCUUAAGCAGCUUCCCUACUCGCCGAUCGUUGCUCCGUUGAAAUCACCAUGGUUACUCUCUCUCACUCUCGAUCCGUCUAUCUCUAUCGCUUUGUUUCUCUUCUCGAGAUUAUCUAAUUUUUGAAAUGUUGUUUGUUUUCAGGCGCCAAAGAAGGAUAAGGUUCCACCGCCGUCAUCGAAGCCGGCGAAAUCCGGAGGUGGAAAACAGAAGAAGAAGGUCCGUUUCCUCCAUUUUAAGCUACUUUUAAUGUCGAUUUUGAAGCAACAAAAUGCUUCAACUCUCUGUUUAUGUCUAGAGUUUUGAGAAAUUGAUUUAGGUUUCGUAGAUUGAUUUAGGUUUAAUAUGAAUUUGGCUGAAGAUUUAGGUUUCUAUUUGCUCUGAUAUGAUACAAAGUCUCUCGAGAGAGUAUUGAUUUGAGUUAGCUUUGGUUAUGUGUAUACAUUUGUCUUGCUUUGUGUGAUAUGUUGCAUUCUUCAUGCUUUUGGUGCUUAAUUGUUUUCUUGUUUCGAUGAAUUGUUUGUUAAACAAAACAGAAGUGGAGCAAGGGAAAGCAAAAGGAGAAGGUUAACAACAUGGUUUUGUUUGAUCAAGGCACUUAUGACAAGCUUCUCACUGAAGCUCCCAAGUUCAAGCUUAUCACUCCGUCGAUACUCUCCGACCGUAUGAGGGUAUAUACAAUCUUUAUAUCACUAUUGCAUUCUUAGAAACUGCAUGGUUUGUGUUAGUUUGAUGUUGUUAGUCUCUGACAUUGUUAUGGUUUGAAUUGUGGAAAAUCAGAUUAAUGGGUCUCUUGCGAGGAGAGCCAUAAGGGAGCUAAUGGCGAAGGGUUUGAUCAGGAUGGUCUCUGCUCACUCGAGCCAGCAGAUCUACACUCGUGCCACCAACACCUAAAAAGCUUGACUUUUUCAAUGGUUUGGUUCUCGACUCUCAUCUUGGUUUUUGUCUUUUGUUGUAUACAUUAAUCAUCAGAACUCUUAUAGUUCUUUUUUGGUUCUCGUUACUCCUUUGUACUCCAGAACCUCUUUAGAAUGUUGUUUUGAGAUAUUAUGUCAAUUUAAAUCGGAGUUGGUUUCUAUUUUUUCCUUUUCAAAAGUCUAUCUAAAUUCCUGAGUUGAAUUAUUCCAAGCCAAUCAAUAAAAUACAAGCAAGGAAAGGAAUCAAGGCAAGCCAGGCAAGCAGAACAAACCUAUAUAUGAAUAACAAGGUGAAAGAGCUCAGUCUCGUGGUUAACAGUCACCCAUCUAUUCCUAGUUAGGGAUCAAAAAGGGACAUAGAGUAUCAAUUUAUAUCUGAAUCAGUAUUGAUUCGUUCAUUAUUAUUGAUAUAAAGUAGAUUUAGAAGAACUAAUUUGCUAUCAUCAUACUAUCUUUACUCUUUAUCGUAUUAGUCACAUUUGUAACAUCAUCAGUAUCAUCAACAUUUCAUUAUACCAUCGUCAAUAUACACAGAGAACAAGACUUUAUGGGUUCUAUUGGGUUUACAAUAUUAUUUUCAUUGAUCCUUUAAUCUUGUAAGAUUAGCAUAUCCAAUCCCUCAAACUACUUGAGAUAUUGUUUGAUAAAUGAGUUGGUUCGUUAAAUGAAUUUUGUUUGUUGGAAAGAAAAGAUAUUUUAAGUUGCGUUUGAGUCCAUACAAAUGGUUUCUACGACAAUUUUGCGGCCGUAAAAUUAGUUUUUUUUUUUUUUUGUUUUUUUUGAUCAAAAGCCAUAAAAUUUGUUUAACUCCAAUAAAAAACAAGGAAUUCCAAUAUAACUGAGCAUCAAUCAAACUUCACUACUUUUGAGUCAUACUAAUGGUUACAAAAAACGUCACUUUCUCACACAUGACAUUACACAUGAUAGGUGUUUUAGAUAUUUGUUCUUGUACCUUUCUAUAGACAACCCUGACCGUCGAAAAUCAUCACUUUGUAACUUAUUUGUUCUUGUAUAUAAAUUAAGUAAAAAAGGUAGUGAUAAACCCAUGUAAUCUAAUGGUUGUAAUGGUUUUCUUUGUUUAUUGUUUUUUCCCACUCAUCUAUUAUUUCAAACGUGGAAAUUAUAAAACCUCCUGUUAAAAAUAUUUUGAUUAUAUUAUAUAAAUAAAAAUAAUCAGUUCUCUAAAUGUUUUAUAUUACUUUUAAAAAGUAAAAAUGUUUUUGAAUUAAUAGAAAGAAAAACAUUUGGUUUAUUCAUAUUUAAAUAAAACACAACAGAACGUCUGUUAGAUGAAUAUGUAUGGACCAAGGGAUUCAACGUGUCUAUGUUGCAGUAGAGAAAGAGUAUGGGAGAAACCAGAGCCGUCCGUUUAUUGUAACAGUCACAUGACUCACAUCACAUCAUUAUGAUCUUCUCAAUAUUUUUUCUUCUGAAAUCUUUUUUUUUCAAAUUUAUAAAGUAUUUAAAAGAGUGUAAAACAAAUGAAAAUAUAAAAUUUUCUUUUGUCUUUUUGCUUAUAAUUUUUAUCAAUUAUGUUUUUCUCUUCUUGCACGUUUGAUUUAUUAACAUAUAUAUAUUUUUUUAUAAACUCUCUCUAUUUCACAAAAAAUAUCGUUUUGAAAUUUUAUUUUUUCAUAAGAACGUUGUCCUACAUUUCCAAUAAUUUUUUAACUAAUUCCUAAUUUACCUUUAACCCAAAAUUACUUUUCUUUUGAAUUUAAUUCAUUAUGUUUUAUUCAGUCACUUAUUAAAUAUAUUAUAUAUAAAAUUUUCUAUAUUAUUAUAUGCAAUUUUUUUACCAAACUAGUCAGAAUUUACUAAUGUGAAUGAAAGAUUUAGGGGUGGGCAUUCGGGUAUGCGGGUUGGGUUCGGGUAAAACCCGAUCGGGUACGGGUCUUUCGGGUAGAGGAGUUUAGGACCCAAUAGGAUAAAUCUAAAAUAUCGGUUCGGUUUCGGUUCGGGUCUAAUCGGGUUCGGGUCGGUUCGGGUUUAGAUUUUUAGAACCGCUAAAUACCCGAAAAAAUCGGGCACCCAUCGGGUUCGGGUAUUUUAUACCCAAAUACCCAAAAUUUUACCAAAUACCCGAAUUUUACCCGAAAUUUUACUCUAAUAUCCGACUUUUAUCCGCAAUUUUACUCAAAUAUCCAAGUUUCACCCAAAAAUUUAUCCGAAUAACCGGAAUUUUGUCCAAAUAUUUAAAAAAUUUACAAGCAUCUCGCGUAUAAAUAUAUUUAGUCUUAAAUAUAUAAAUAUAAGUGCAUUUAAUUUUUGGUAAUUACUCUCGGAUAUUUGGAUAUAAAUGUAUUUAGCUCAAAUAUUACAUAUAUAUAAAGUUUUUAUAUGUAUAAGUAUAAGUAAUUUCGGGUAAUCGGGUACCCGUUCGGGUAUCGGGUUCGGAUCGGGUUUUACCCUAUACCCACGGGUACGACAAUACAAGACCCAAUAGGGUAAAUAGCUAAUACCCGUACCCGCCCCGAACCGGUUUUUUCGGGUCGGUUUCGGUUCGGGUACUCGGGUACGGUUUUUUUGCCCAGGCCUAGAAAGAUUCGAUAUAUAGAAGUAACUGAGAUCAGUUCUACACAAUUGAAAUUGUCUCAAGAGAGGAGAUUACAAACACAGACACAAACAGAAACACAAUUUUAAAAAUAAAUUGGCCAAAGAGAGAAAAUAAGUAUACUUUCUCGUGGAGGGAUCACAGGACCAAAAACCAGAAAAAGUAACAGCUUCCACCGUCAACCACGCACUGUUUCAGUCUUCUUCUCCUUCCAUUUCAAACGAACAACAAACAUUUUAAUCAAAAUCAUUAAAAAGUGUUAAACUUUCUGGUAAGUUAUUAAUACUCUCUGCUAAUGAUGCUGUUUAUGGUCGUAAUGGUUUUCUAGCUAUCUGGGUGUUUAAAUUUCGAAUACAAAUUCCUAGAUCUUCUUCUUCUAUCUGGAUCGUUGUUUUUAGCUUCUGAACAUGAAAAAGUUUCUGUCUUUUGAGGUUUCUCGAUUUUGCUUUCUUUGGGUUUAGUAGUUUUUAACCAAUGUGCACUAAGAAAAUAAUUCAUUUUUAUGAUGUUUUCUUUGGUUUGAUGAUGAAAAAUUGAAACUUUAUUCUACUUCUUAGUAUCUAUCUUCCGGCUUAUUUAAAGUUAAUGAUCCUUCAAGCCUAAUGGAGAUUGGUACUACUCAUAAAACCAUUAGUAAGUUUGAAACUUCCAAGAGUUUUUGUGUUUUGAGACGAUGAGAUUUUUGAGAGUUUCAGGGAUCUAUGUUUGUGAAUCAUCUGGGUUUCUGGAAAGUUUGUAGCUUUCGAGGAUUUAUCUAUUGGGUACUCUCAAGAAAUGUUUUUCAGGAUUUCUCUGGUCGGUUUCACUUUAACACUUUGCUUAGAUUUGAACAAUGGGUUUGGAUUAUUCUAUUACUAUUUUCAUUAUAUUAUUAAGUAGAUAGAAACUGUAACGCUUUGUGUAUUAUUCACUUUACUUGAAGCUUUUAUUAUUCUUCUGCGCUAAUUCGUAUCUGCUAUUAACUUUCCGAGGUUUCUGUUGUUUAUUUUUGGGUUUUUGCAGCUAAAAAGAUGGAUUCUUCUUACUACUUUGCCUUGGGGACAAGUAGUUCUAUUCUGCCAAAACUCUGUUUCAAGAAUGUGGAGAUCAGAUUUUGGGGUGAGAAGAUCAACAACAAUGGUUUCUUUAAACGUUCUAAAUCAGAUUUGGACUCCAAGAAUCGAAAGUUCAAGCGCAGUGUUGUUUACGCUGUUGCCACUUCGAAUAAUCCAAAAAAGGCUAUGGUACGUUGAUCAGUUUACUCUUUUCUCUCUUGCUUAAAUGGCAUUAGGCUUGCUUUGUGUCGCUCAGAUUCAGCGGUACCUUCGAUAACUUUCUUAAGACUUGCCUCAAGAAGACUGCUUAAUCGGAAAAGUCCAGAGUUCUUGAUUCUGUUUGCUUUGUUUUUUCAGACUGUAAAGCCUUCCAUGUUUGAGAGAAGAAAGGCAGACCCGCAAAACGUGGCUGCAAUCAUUCUAGGAGGAGGUAAUGGAGCUAAACUCUUCCCUCUUACAAUGAGAGCCGCAACACCAGCUGUAAGUAUUCAUCUUUCUUUGUUUCCUCUUUCUGAAAAACCAAAACUGUAAAUAACAUUCAUGGAGAUUUAGGACCUCAAGGGUCUUAUCUAUAAAACAAUGUUUUUGUGUAAUGAGGAUUCUUGUGUCUUCAAAUUAUGUUAGGUUCCUGUUGGUGGAUGCUACAGGCUGAUCGAUAUUCCGAUGAGUAACUGCAUUAACAGCUGCAUCAACAAGAUCUUUGUGCUGACACAAUUCAACUCUGCUUCCCUCAACCGACAUUUAGCACGCACUUAUUUUGGGAAUGGCAUAAACUUCGGAGGUGGUUUCGUAGAGGUAUAAACACUAUGACAGUUUAAACAUUCAGCUUUCUUGAAUUUUCGAGGAACAAAGCAAAAGUAAAAUCUUAUUGAAUAGGUUCUUGCUGCAACACAAACACCGGGGGAAGCUGGGAAAAUGUGGUUUCAAGGAACAGCAGAUGCUGUCAGAAAAUUCCUCUGGGUGUUUGAGGUAUGAACUUAUGAUCACUUUUUUACUGGUUUAUUAUGUCAGUUCCUUUGUGAUCUUUGAAGUAGUCUAAAAGCUGUUGAUGUCUUAAAAACUAGGAUGCCAAGAACAGGAACAUUGAGAACAUACUUAUUUUGUCUGGAGAUCAUCUCUAUAGAAUGAACUACAUGGACUUUGUUCAGGUAAUAUAUCUAAAUCUAAACAGAUCUGUUCUUCAUCAUCUUAAACCUCUUUAAAGUUGCACUAACUCAGUGUGUUGUAAUAGUCUCAUGUCGAUAGUAAUGCGGAUAUUACUCUUUCAUGUGCACCAGUCAGUGAAAGGUUAGUAUCUUGAAUCUCGUUACGUCUUUUCUAUGAGAAAUCUCCGUUCUUGAAACCAUUUUUUUUUGUGAAUUCUUUAGCCGCGCAUCGAAUUUUGGUCUAGUGAAGAUUGAUAGAGGUGGGCGUGUAAUCCAUUUCUCCGAGAAACCAACGGGAGUCGAUCUGAAAUCAAUGGUAUAGUUUUCUAUGAUUCUUAAAACAAAUCAACUUCUUAAAGUCAUAAAGCAUUUCAAAAACUUGAAACUUUUCUCUUUGGUUUUUACAGCAAACAGACACAACAAUGCUUGGACUGUCUCAUCAAGAAGCAACAGAUUCUCCAUACAUUGCAUCUAUGGGAGUUUAUUGUUUCAAAACCGAAGCUUUGCUGAACCUUCUAACAAGACAGUAUCCGAGUUCCAAUGACUUUGGAUCUGAAGUUAUUCCUGCAGCCAUAAGAGAUCACGAUGUUCAAGUAAGAUUUUAGAAAACUCGUGUCUUGUUUUUCUUUAUCCGUUGUACACAACGAAUGAUCUAACAGUUUUGUAUUGUUUUUUGUCAGGGAUACAUAUUCCGAGAUUACUGGGAGGAUAUUGGAACUAUAAAGACAUUUUAUGAGGCUAAUUUAGCUCUUGUUGAGGAGGUAAGAAGCAUUACUCCAGUCUUUCACCUUAUUAUGACGUUCUUGGAUACAUUUUUCUCAACUUUUUUGUUUCUUGAUCUUGUUCUCCAGCGACCAAAGUUUGAAUUCUAUGAUCCAGACACUCCGUUCUACACUUCUCCUCGGUUCCUCCCACCAACCAAAGCUGAGAAAUGUCGCGUAUGUGUCAAAACAUCUUUUUCUUUAUGGUUGUUUCUUUGAUUCCAGUUGCUAAUUAUUUAGUAUGGUUCUGUUUUGAUGAUUUUGUAGAUGGUAGAUUCGAUAAUCUCACACGGAUGUUUCCUGCGAGAAUGCAGCAUCCAACGUUCCAUCAUUGGUGAACGGUCACGUCUAGACUAUGGAGUUGAGCUUCAGGUGAAUCUUCAAUCUCUUCACUUUGAUCUAAAACAAUCGAAAUUAUUUUAACUUUGUUGCGAUCAAAUUGAGCUUGGUUUUCUUUCUUUUCAAAGGAUACAUUGAUGUUAGGUGCAGAUUACUACCAAACUGAAUCUGAAAUUGCAUCUCUAUUAGCAGAAGGAAAGGUUCCAAUUGGCAUUGGUAGAGACACAAAGGUCAGGUAAGUUUUGAGAAAACACAUAACAUACAAACAAAACCCUCUUCAAAUGGAUUUGUCUGAAACAACAAGAGUGUUUUUUCUUCCUGGUGAGUUUAUAGGAAAUGCAUCAUUGACAAGAAUGCCAAGAUCGGUAAAAACGUGAUCAUCAUGAACAAAGGCGUAAGCUUUUCGUGAAUUUCUUCUCCCUCAGAUUUUCAACUGUUGAAGAAAGAUCAAAUCUUAAAGACCUUAUGUCUCCAUGUUUUCAGGAUGUACAAGAAGCAGAUAGGCCAGAGGAAGGAUUCUACAUUCGAUUGGGAAUCACUGUGAUAGUCGAAAAGGCGACAAUUCAAGACGGUACUGUAAUAUGAAUGGAGCUUGAAAGCUGCAAUCUUGUAAGUCCACCUAGCAACAAUCUUGCUGGAGAUUAAAAAGAGAAAGCUUCCAUCAUUGUACAAUUAGAAGAGCUCAAGUUUAGUAUAACUAGAGAUAGAGAUAUAGAGAACAAAUAAGAACACAGUGAAGUCUUGAUCAGUGCUCCGGCGACGGAAGACUGAUCGGCCGAUCUCUCCCUCUCUUAUCAUCUUUUGUAUUUAGAACCUUUGAUGAUUCUCUUUGUAUUAUUCAAAAAAAUAAGCAAUUUAUCUCCUGUCUUUGUGUCACCACCAUCCACAUUCAAACUACAUACCACAAAUAAUAAUCAAACUUUUGUUAAAAUUUAAAAUACUAAAAUAUCAUCAUAAUAUACUAAUAAUUUCUAAAAUCAUUGAGUGAAUAACAACAGAUUUUGACACCAAUUAUAAAUUGGUAAAUCCAACAUAAUAAUGAUGAUUUUGAUUGAGUUUUUUAGUUAAUCAAAUGUGAGAUUAUGGGUUAAAAGUGUGAAAAAAUAAUAUUAAGGGGUGAAUGUGAAAAUAAAAUAAAAUGUGGGCUUACAUCGAACAAAACAUUUAAUUGGUGGCUCAUGCGUAGUUUAUUUAUUAUAUAAGAAUACCCACAAGGAAAUUUCAUUUAAUUAAUUUCAAAAAAAAAAAAAAACGGAGUCUUGUGAAAUUGAGCGUCGUCGUCGUCCUUAGCCUUAGCCAGAUCUGCAUCUUUUUCGCUGGCGUCGUCGAGAUCUCUGUCGUAUUGAAGAAGCUAUUCAAUCUUUCUUCACCAUCCGUAAGUCCUUUUCAGAAGCUUCUCUAAUGCUUGAUCUUCCAUUUUUCUUCUUCCGAUUGAUUCUCUCCUCGCACUCCUUCUCGUUGUUUUAAUGCUGCUUUCGACGAAUUUGGUGAUUUAUUGGGAACGAUUCAGUUCCGAUUCCAGAUCUGACUCUUGCGAUAUGUUGAAAUCCGAAAGAGAUAGAGAAGAAUUUCAUUAUCCGUUUGUUGUGUUUAGGGUUUUGGGAUUAACUAGUGAGAUUGUUUAGCUAAGAGAUGAUUAAUGGCGUUCUCUUGAUUGUUUUUUUGCUUAACAAGUUGAGAAAUCGAAGCUAGGGUUAUUUGUUCUGUACUUAAUAGGUAAGAUCUCUGAGUAGAUCUUCAUUUUCGUGCUCAUUUCUAGGUUGCAAGAAUCACAAUGGAUGGAAGUGGUGGUGACAGUGGUUCGAUGGCUACACCUGUACAAAAGAAGGUACAUGAGGCAUGGAGGGUUUACCAAUAUUAUCUGGACAAGACUACUCCUCAUUCAACUAACAGGUGGAUCGGAACACUUGUCGUCUUUCUUAUCUACUGUUUGAGGGUUUACUCCAUUCAGGGAUUCUAUAUCAUCUCCUAUGGUCUUGGAAUCUACCUCCUGAAUCUGCUUAUCGGGUUCUUGUCCCCUCUUGUUGAUCCUGAGCUCGAAGUCACUGAUGGAGCUACUCUCCCUACUCGAGGUUCUGAUGAGUUCAAGCCAUUUAUCCGUCGACUGCCAGAGUUUAAAUUCUGGUACCCUUUUGCCUGUCUCCUUACAACUUAUCAGUGUUCAAGAAAGCGCUAGGCGCUAAGCGGGCGGUGACCCAAUGCCUAGCGCCUAGAACGCCUAAUCGAAGCCUAGGCGAUUUUUUAGGCGGUUUAGACGUUUAUAACAUAAAACAUAAUAAAUAUAAUAUCAUAUAUAAAAUUUAUAUAAAAUAUCUAAUAAAACAAAAAAUUAUGAAAUUAUAAACAAAAACUAGAUAAAACAUUUAAUUGAUUUUAUAUAUUAAACAAUAUAUGAAUAUUUAUAACUAUAUAUAUAUAUAUAUAAAUAAAACUCUAAUUGAAAUUGAAAAAAUACAUUAAACAAGAUCUAUGUAAUUUUAGACGGUCAAGGCGGUUAUCUAGGCGUCGCAUGAGAGCCUAGCGCCUAGUCGGGGCCUAGGCGACCGCCUAGACCGCUUUUUAGAACACUGCAACUUAUGCUUUCAAUUAUGUUGUUGGAUUAUCGUCAUUGCAUAUCAUGUUCUUUGUGAUAAGUCAUAUUUAAAAUUCUAUUAGCAUUCAGGUGGUUUACCAUAUACCAUCUUUUUAACCAAGUGUGCUGGUAAUGCUUGUGUUGCAGCGCCAUAUUCAAUUUUGUUUUCUGUUCCUUAUAUGCUCAUCGGGAUUGAAUGACAUAAUGUAUAAACACUAUGCUCUUAGUUAUAUAUAAUUGCUCAGUUUUUUUUGUCCUAAUAUCUUCCUGAAUGAUACAUCCAGGAAGAAACACUUGGUCAUUGUCAUAACUCUACACAUAAGAACACGGUAGCUUCUUUUCUUUUCAGUGACAAUUGGAUUGAAUCUCUGACAGGUACUCCAUGACUAAGGCAUUCUGCAUAGCAUUUCUCAUGACAUUCUUCUCGGUCUUUGACGUUCCUGUCUUCUGGCCUAUAUUGCUUUGCUACUGGGUUGUUCUCUUUGUCCUCACCAUGAGACGCCAAAUCGCCCACAUGAUCAAGCACAAGUACAUUCCUUUCAGCAUCGGAAAACAGGUAAUCUGUUCUUACAACUUUGAUCUUUUAGUUUUAUCUUGUAUACAAAAACCCCAUGUCUAGUCAUCUUAAUUUACUCUUCUAUGAGUCAAUAAAAUCCUGCCCACUUCUCUACAAAGUCAACAUUCAUAUUACAAUACAGGGUUUGAGUUUAGAGUUACUAAUAUAUCUGAAAUUUUGAUAUGUGUGGCAGAAAUAUAGUGGCCGGAGAUCUUCUGCGAGCAGCAGCGGCGGCUCUCGUGCUGAUUGAUUUCGAUUGUCAGCCACAUUUUCUGCAGAAGAAAGAAAAAGGAUAGGUUUUAAACCACUUUGGAAUGUUUUGUAGUGAUGGUUUUAAUCAAAUUGCUAGAAUUGUUAUGCAGCUACAAGGAAGAAGAAGGGAAAAAAAAAAAUGGUGAUUAGUUUAAAUUUGUUUCUUCUAUGUUGCAGAAAAAUUGUUCUUUGUUCGUUCCCUUUUAAACCCAAGUACCCUCUUCUGUAAAUAUGAUUUAUUUUUAUUUUACAACACAUUCAUUCUUUUUUUCUUUUAUGUUUGCUUUUAAAUACCUUUCAUUUGUAUCAUCAAUUUGAUCAUUUCUUGAAUUUAAUUAUUCAAGCAAAAAGAUUCAACGAGUUCUACGAAUCGUAUGAAUUUUGGUGUUGUUCAUACGAAAUUAUCAAUCACGUGAUGGUCUCUCGAGAAGUCGACAAAACUCUUUGUUAGAACAAAAAGAACUGUUUGAUGAACAAUAACUAUUUUUUUUUUUUUUUGGCACACGAACAAUAACUAUUCUUAACAGAUCCUUUUUCAUGAGGCGGAAUGAAAAAUUUGGUGGUCAUGGAAGUUUUCUUACAAAAUGUAUAUAAUACACUUGGACUCUAGCUCUUUCGAGUUGCGGCAAUAUCGCAAGAUUCCAAACUUUGCGGUUCGGAAUUGAUGUUUCUUCUUCGAGCAAUAUCGCAAGAUUCCAAAUUUUGCAGUUUUUCUUUGUCGUGUUUUCUCUUGUAUUCGUGGAUACUUAGUUUUAGUUUUUGGUUUCUAUGUCUCUUUUGUUAUCUUUGUAUUCGCGGUCGAAAAAUUGAAAAUUGUAUAAAAUACUUGAUACCAAAAAAAAGGUGUAUUAUAUACGUGUUUUGUUAAUUAUAUACAUUACAUCAAUAAAAAUAUUACACACAAUUAAUUACAAGCGAUAUGUCUAAAGGAUUUAAAUAAGAACAAAAAAAGAAGAAAAAAUAUUAAUUAAUGGAAUUAUUAAUUUAUUUAUAUAUUUUCGGGUUUAUUUGGGACCAUUUUUUGAAGUGGGAAGGGGCAGGUCGGAGCCAGUCUUUGCCGCCGAUAAAGUCCUUGCUCAAGAAGACGGUAGCUUCGUCGUCGGAUAAUUGUUUUGACCAUUUUACUCUUUGUCCCCUGUCUGCUCCGGGACCGUAACAUUUGUAUUCACCAUAAUAUACGGUACUGAACAAUUAUUAAAAGAAAAAAUUAGUGUACAUUAGUCAAAAAUAUUUAUAAGAAUUAAACCACAAACCAAAAGGUAAAAUGUUAGUACUUUUCUUUGGUUGAAUCUCCCCAUUGGUUCCACCCUCGAGGUGCGACGACAUUGGAGAAGAAGGAAUAAGCAAAGAUAACCCUAGAAUAAGGUCCCCAUGGCCUUCCCAAAUACGUGGAACUGGAUCCGGUUAACUUGCAUCCCAAGAAUAUAAACCCUGAUUUCUCCGUCGCCGACGUUCUCAUUUGCGCCGUUAUAGACCCUUUAGUCGGUGACAACGAGUGUAGAUGACAUCUCUACAAGUGAAACCAGGAACAAAGAAAAUUAAGGUUUAUGUUUAAAGAUGAGAAAGUUAACUCUUAUCUAUAAAUGGAACAUGUUAAUUUUUUCCUCUAAGAGCAUGCAUCCCAAAAAUAAUGGAAUUAACAACAACUCUAAUCAAUCGGAUCCUUAAUCUUUUGAAAAUUAGAAUAAAGUGAAAUGUAAUCAUUAUUAUGUUAAGAUUAUUACUUUUAAUGGAACUAAUUAUGUAAAAUGAGUUAGUAUUUACUUCAUAGAGAGAAGAAGCGCUUCCACAAAUGAAAUCGGUGGCUCCUUCAAUAUAGCAGUUCUUGAAGUAAUGGUUUCCAUUGUCGUCAAGGAGAGUGUCUUGGUACGAUGUUAUCACGCAUCCAUAGAACGCUGCCUUAUCCGCUGCCACCCGCAGUGCAACCGCCCGUCCCGCCGUUCCAAGCUUAUUCUACUUACAACAAAACAAAACACGCCACAAGUAAUGAUAUUUUCGUAUUCUACAUUGGAAUUGAAUUUUAAAACAUGCAUAUAUACGAUGUAUAUAUGAGACGAAGAUUAACCUGAAUAGUGAGAAAUCGACAUACGAAAUCGGUGGCAAAUAUUGUGAGAGUGGGUGAUUCCAAAAUGUCUCCACCAUCGCUCCAUAUGAGAAAGGUGUUGGAAGCUUGUGUUCCACUCAAUGUUAUGUAGGGUUUAUCCGCAGGAAUCACCACCUUUUCUCUGUUUUCAAUCAAAUCGCUAAAUAACAUUAAUAAAACUAUACUUAAACAUGGAAUCUAAUCAAGCAUAGAAUUAACUUUUCAUGGAUAAUAUAUAUUUUGCAAAAAUGAAUAUACAAAUAUAAUUCUAUAUAUGUCGAAGCCUAAUACCGAAUAACCAGCUGAUAAAAGGACAACCAUAUCAACAAAACCUAUAUAACUUCGGAAGAAUUGUGAAUAGCUUAAUUUUUUACAUGAAAAUUAAGAGAUAGUUUAAGUUUUUUAUAUGUUUAUAAAUAAUCUAACUCUAAACUCCAAUACUAAAUACUUAAACCCUUAACCAUCAAUCUUAAACCCUAACCCUUAAGACUUAAAUAUAAUCCUACCGGUAAAUUCCAGGCUUAACCCAAAUGUAAUAGAGUUGAGAGUUGUUUAGAUUGGGAGGGAUAGAUUCUAUUGCUUCUUGAAUCUUACUGAAGUCUCCUUUGCCCGAUUGAUCAACCCUUAUUAGAAUUGCAGUAGAAAAAUCAAUGGAAGACGAAGAAGAAUUAGAAGAAGCCAUGGAUGAAAAUGUGAUUGAAGAGAGAAUGAAAAUAUUGAUGAGUAUGAUAUGAUAAUAGUUAGCAAUUGAACGUUUGGACUUUGUUUUAUAAAGACCCAUCUUGGCAUAACCCAUGUGAGGUUUCACGUCUUGGCGAUUGUGCAGAUGUCAAAAAAAAAAAAAAAACAAAUACAAAAUAGAAAUCAAGAAUGAAAAUUAUUGAAUUCAAUUGGUGAAGAAAGAGUGUGAGAAUUAGAAUUUUGAAAAGUUUGGUUUGCACAUAAAGGAGAUUAUAUAUAUAUAUAUAUAUAUAUAUAUAUAUAUAUAUAUAUAUAUAUAUAUAUAUAUAUAUAUAUAUUAUUUUAUAAUAUUAAGUAUGGUUUUUAAAGUUAGUAACUCAUAAAAUUGUGUCAUGUGUCAAGUCUAUUGAUCAGAUGUUGACAUGUGUUAGAAAAGAGUUAAUUUUUUUUUUCUUUAAAGAAAUAGAAAAACUAAAAUAGGAAAUAAAUUUAUAUAUACUAAUUUAUAUGUCUAUAUCUAAAAAAAAGUUAUUUUUCUUAACAAAAAGAAAAUUAACAAAUUUGUUUUUACAUGUGUUAUUGGUCAAUUAAGUUUAGCACAUAAUAAUUUAAAAAAAAAACAUUUGGUGUGAAGAAUAAUUAAUUAAAAAGGCCAUUGAAGUUUAAUUGUAUGUAUCAUUGUAAUAUAGUGUUUUCAUUCAUUAAAUUAAAAUAUAAAAUUUUUUAAAACAAAUUAAUGAGCUUAUGAGUAUAAAUUUUUGAAUACUUAUGUUUUAUUCUAAGAAUUUCAACGCAUCCUAUGAUGGAGGGGCUUGCAUCUUUUGAUCUAUUAUCGCAAGCUUAUACUUAUGUUUUAUUCUAAGAAUUUUAACGCAUGUAGUCAUAAGUGAAAACACAAUUUUUUUUAGGAAAAAUAGCUUAUAUGAUUGACUUUUCAAUUACUUAAUGAGAAGUAAGUAUAUUUUUAUUUAUUAAUUUUUACUCAUUUAAAAUUAGUUUGCAUGAGGUAAAAUUAACUUACGAGAUUACGCCAUGUAUAAAAAAAUAUAUUUUAAACAAUUUUUUUUUCAAAUAUUUUUGUGGAUUUCUGUUUUUUAUUAAUUAUAUUUUGUUAAUUAUUAAUCAUUUUUAAUAUUAACUAAGAUAUAGAUUUGAUCUGAUAUAAAUAUUAUUAUAUUAUUUUGAUAUAAAAUUGUUAUCACUUAAAAUGAAGUGUGUAGAAUUAUAAUCGAGUUUAAUAUGAUGAAAUAGAUAGUUAAGUUGUAUUGCAAAAUUCAAAUACUAUCGUUAAAAAUUUAUAUUUAUAUUUAUAUCUUACAUCCGCCUAAUUAGGCGGAUCUUAUCUAUAAUAUAUAUAUAUACCAAAUGGGUUGAUUAAAAAUCUAGAUGACGUGGUUGGAUUGGCCAGCGGCCGAAUUCUUAUGAUCGAAGUUGAAAGAUUGCAUAUCGUUGACAAGAGAUUUAUAUAUAUUAGAUUCAUAUUUUUAACUCUAAGCCACAAAUUCUAUAUACACUAUACUCUCCAAAACUUGUAUAAACCGGAUUUUAUUGUUAUUUACAACGUCUUCAAUGACCAUAUAGCCUUUGACACAUAUUAGACUGAAGUUCGAUUUCUAGCCUUUGACACAUAAAACAAUAUUCAAUCCAUUUGAAUAAACCACAUAGUUACACGUAUUUGGUUCACUAGAAAAGUUUUUAUCAUCAAUACGUCAAUUUAUCUACAAAUAUCUUAUGUAGAUUAUGUUUGGUAAUUGAAUUCAAACAUUAAACUAUAAGUUACGUCGUUAAUAUGUACUUGCUUACCAAUUUUUGUUUUUUAAAUAAGUAACUAAAUAAUACUUUAGAUAUACUUUACGUGUUAGGUUGGCGGCUUGCAUGCUUCCUGCAUUAGUAUUAGCGAUCAAAAAGAGAUAUAUAAUGCGCACUUAUGUAUGUUUGAACGUAAGAAACAAAAAUAUUAAAUAUGUAUUUAUGUUUCCGUCAAAGGCCAAAUAUAAAGGCCCAUAUAAACAAAACUACUUCUAUAGAAAAUUAUAGAUACCCUCAACAUUUUUGUUUAUUUACAUAUACUCCCAACAGUUUUAUUUAUCACUAAUGCUCCUUAGUCCUUACUCAUAAAGCUAAGGGUGGGCACAAGGCGAGUAUUUGCUGUUUUAGUGAUACUUGUUACUUGAUUUACCUUGUACGAGUAGUAAAAAUUUGUAUUUAUACUUGGCUUGUUGAAAACGAGUACUUGCAAUUUCAAGUACUUCUUUAAAAGUGAUUGUCUUGCGAGUUACUUGCCUUGUCUUAUUACUUGUUACUUGAGAGUUACUUGCAAGUACUUGAGAUUUAAUUGCAAAUAACACUUUCGAAUUAUUUAUUGUUAUUUGUCAUGUCUUUUACCUGUUUAUAAUUUACUUUAUUUUUGACCUAAUUUUUAAAUGUGUUUAACAUUAAUACAAUAUGAAAUAUAUAUAUAUAUAUAUAUAUAUAUAUUGGUAAAAUAAUAACAAGUAACGGAUCAAACAAGUUGAGUAUUAAUUUUUUUUUUUUAUUAUUUGUUACUUAAUUUGUACUUGCAAGUAUCUAAAUUAUACUACUUGUUUUUUGCCUUGACAACAAUAAAUAUUUGUUUUUUCAAAGCGAAUACAAAACAAAUAACGAAUACGUGACAAGUAACGAGUAAUCAUCGUGUCCAGCCCUACAUAAAGCCAGACGAGCCAUGGAUCCUUGUCAGAUUGUUACGGUCACAUGAUGAAACCAAACUCCAUGUAUCUUCUUUUUAAUACAUCCAAGUAUAGAACACGACACGAUUUCUGUAAAAAAACUAAAAACUAGUAUAUAAAUCAUUAAAUCUAGUAUCUUCUUUUACCCAAAAAAAGAUGUAUAGAACACGACAUGAUUGGUAAACGAAACAUAGUCGAAAGACAAAAAUCAACGGAUUUUUUGUUUACUAGUAUUUGAAUUAUGCUUUGAUUGGGUAGGAUUUUAACUUUUUAAGUUAGUAGCUUAUUAUUCUUUUGUAUGCGUAUGGAUUUAUAGUUUUAUACUAAUAACAUCAUAUAUGUAAUAAUUAUUCUCUCUGUUUCAUUAUAUUAGAUGUUUUAAUUUUAUUUUGUUUCAUAUUAUAAGAUGUUUUGCUAAUUUCAAUAUAAAUUUUAGGGAGACUCACAAAAAUGCCUCUUUUUCAAUACCCCUUUUCAAAAAUGCCCCAUUUGGCUGUCCAUUUUUAAAAAUGCCCCUUAAUUAUUUCUAAUAUGACUAAAUUACCCUUCCUUUCAUAACCUAAGAACUAUCGGUUCCCUCAUCUCUUCUCUCUCUCUCGCUCUCUCACGUUGAUCGGCGAGUAUUCCGAUUUCAAAUCUCGAUUCCGAUUUCAAAUCUCGAUUCCGAUUACAGAUCUCGAUCUCGCUCUCAUUUCAGAUCUCUUCUCUCUGUUUCGAUUUCGCUUUUCCUUCUGUUUUCGAGUCCCACAUCGAUUCCAGGUUAGAUUCCUCUUCUGUCUCCUUUUCGUUCAGUUUUCGAGUCCCACAUCGAUUCCAGGUUAGAUUCUUUGUAAAGUUUGUCUUUAGAGGUUAGAUUAUGUGGUUAUGUGGUUCUGUUUUGAAAGGUUUGUCUUUUACAGGUUAGAUUCUGUGAUUCUGUGAAAGGUUUUUCUUUUAGAAGCUUUUUUGAUAUCAUUUUCGACUAUUAAUGAUUGAUUUUACUGCUUGAUUUUGAAUUCUGGAUUUUAUAACAUUUUUUAAAGGUCUUAUAUGCUUUUUAAAGGUUUGUUUCUCUUAAACUUUUUUGCUUUUGUUUUUACUGGAUAUGGUUUUAUACUUUUAAUGCUUGGUUUUUACGCAGAUGUCUAACAAUGACCCAUUGGAUUUUACAACGUAUUUUAAAGGUUUUACAUGCUUUUUAAAGGUUUGUUUUUUACUGUUAAUGAUUUUAGUGCUUCAACCUUGUGUAUAUCAUCUCUGAUUUAUUCAACUUCUGGAUUUUAUAAUGUGUUUUAAAGGUUUACAUGUUUUUUAAAAGGUUUGUUUUUACUGUUAAUGAUUUUAGUGCUUCAACUUUGUGUAUAUCAUCUCUGAAUUAUUCCACUUCAAACGUUUGGUUCCAUGACAAAUGGCACAGACUCUCAGCUAGCAUAGGUCCUUGCAGGUUGAAGCAAAACACCUCAAGACCAGCAUCCUCGAUGUAGUCAAUCACGUAAAGUCGCUGCAGUUUUGGGCAUUGCUAAGAAGCUUGACAAGAUGAAUCAAACAUGUCCAAACUCUCCUAACUCGUCUUCUGAUACGAUUCCAUUAGUUGGAAAAGAAGAAAAUUUGAUGAUGAUUUAGUUACAUGUUGUUAUGUACCAAAAAGUUUUUACUCAACUUUUAUGUGUCUUUUGUAAGUUUGUAACUUAAGAAAAUUCCAUGUAACACUAUUGAUUGUUAUAUUUAGUGCUUUAAUUGUUAAAGUGAUUGCUAUUAUUAUACAAGUGACUCAAUGUGGCUCAAUACAUGUGAUUUGAUGAAAUAGUGAAGUUAAUUUUACAAUGUAUUUUAAAGGUUUUACAAUGUAUUUUAAAGGUUUUACAAUGUGUUUUAAAGGUUUUACAAUGUAUUUUAAAGGUUUUACAAUGUGUUUUAAAAGGUUUUACAAUGUAUUUAAAAGGUUUUACAAUGUAUUUUAAAGGUUUUACAAUGUAUUUUAAAGGUUUUACAAUGUACAAUGUGUUUUAAAAGGUUUUACAAUGUAUUUUAAAGGUUUUACAAUGUGUUUUAAAAGGUUUUACUAGAUAUUUUAAAGAUUUUACAAGGUGUUUUAAUGAUUUUACAAAGUAUUUAUACGGUAUAAGCUAAGAUGAGUUAUAAAACUUUGAAAAUAUUUUAUAAAGGUUUUAUAAGGGUUUUAAAAUUUAAAGAUUUUACAAGAUAUUUUAAAGGUAUUUGAAAGGUUUAGAAGGUAUUUUAAAAUGGUUUACAACAUGUAUUUUAAAGGUUCGACAACAUAUAUUUUAAAGGUUUUACAAGGUAUUUUAAAGGUUUUAAAAGGUUUUACAAAGUAUUUUAAAGGUUACGUGAAUUUUAAAGGUUUUACAAGGUAUUUUAAAGGUUUGACAACAUGUAUUUUAAAGACUUUACAAAGUAUUUUAAAGGUUAUACAACGUGGAUUUAAAAGAGUUUACAAUAUAUUUUAGAUCACAUCCACAACACAAAUCACAAUCGUUGUUCUAAAGUUCUUAAGAACACAAAUCAGAAACACCAAAACCACAUAAAACUCAAACUAAUCAAUAUAACAUCAAGUCUUAAGAUCUUCUCCAGUCUUAAAAUUUUACACAGGUACCCAUUAGGCCAUUAUGCAAGAAGCCUUUCUUCUCCGGGAAACAAAAAAUGUAAUCCACUGCACAUAAACAAUAAUCUAAUCCCAUGAUUUAUCACUCUGCAGCAAAAACAACAAUCGAUUUUGAAAUCACAACUGACAAAACUGAAACUGUGAAAUAAAACUUAACCGAAGAAGAAGAGAUUAAAGAGGAUUUUUGUGUGAUUACAGAAAGUUGAGAAACCAGAUCGAGGAGAUUACACAGUUAGACCAAUUCUUAAUCCUAUUCUCCACCAAAUCGAGAAAAUAGAUAAACACAUAAGCGAAUCUCUUAAAAAUCAAUUGAUGGACUAACUCAAUUCGGAUAUGUGAAAGAGGUAAUGACAGAUUGAGGCAGACUCGGAUCUUGGACUGCGGACACAAAUCGAUGACCAAAUCGACUACGACGACGACGAUAGAUGAAGGAUAUCCUCGCCGAUUUAACUCCCGGCGAAGCUCUGGUCGGCAAAGAUGAAGAUUCUCGACAGAUUGAAGAUGAGGUUUUGGUCUCGUCGGUGGUGUGGUGACAGGAGACGGCGUGAAUAUCAAGCACAUGGCAUCGUCCGACGACGGUGAAGAUGACAGGAGAUUGACCUUUUGUUCAUCGGCGGUGAAAGUGAUUAGAGCCGCCGAGAUUUUUGGUUCGUGCUUGUCUGGGGAACAAUUUUGUCUUUUAGGUCAAAGCCUCAUUAAGGGUAAAAUAGUCAAUUUCAGAGAAGCUAUUAGGGAUGGGGCAUUUUUGAAAAGGGGUAUUGAAAAAGGGGCAUUUUUAACAAUUUCUCUAAAUUUUAAUGCAUUUGACAACUUAUGACUAUUGAUAUUUUGUAAUCUUUUUUAUGAUUGGUUAAAUUUUCCUUAAACUAAAUAUAAAUGAUGUUUUUAAAAGAAAAAUAAAUUAUCUAAAUAUGUUUGCAUUUACCUGAAACAUCUUAUAUUUUGAAACAAAAAGAGUAUUUGUUUAGGGAAGAAAUUAAUUAUAGUCAUAGUCAUGAAAAAAAAAAAAAAAAAAAAAACUAACUCAUAACUCGUAACUCAACUUUAAAACUCAAAUCAAUUCAACUCAAGACAGCUUCCCUUGUUUGGGCUUAAGACCUUCUUUUCCUAGUAGAGUCUUUCACUUUAGAGGAAAUAGAACUACUGGCUGGAAUAAACCUUUUCCCUUAGACCAAAACUCAGCGUUUUCUUGUUUUUUAACCUAGCUUCGUUGUAAUUCUCGAAGGCGGCUACGGUUUGUGUUUCAAGUUCUUGGUGUUCCUCAUCAGAAGUCUAGAUCCUCCUGAUUCAAGUUUUCUCUUUCUGGUCUCAGUUGGAUUUCGUCUGCUCUGUCUUGCGUGCUGUUCGUUUCAGUUGAUUUUCGCUCUAUUCGGGAGUGUUUGUGGUGUGUCUUCAGAGUUUUGAAGUCAGAGUUUUAAGCUUCUAAGGUUGACAGGUGGUGUUUGUGAUGUCGGCUGCUAUGGAUAAGGCGUUGAUGGCCAUGUCCUUGGAAGAAGAAGACGUUCCGUUCGAGAUGCCAAAUCUUCCUCAAUAUAGAUCGUGUGAAAGAAAUGUUUUAAGUCUGGUUGGAAGGUUGCUCAAUCCAGAUAAUCAAAGUAUCUCGAAUCUAAUUCUUAAUAUGCCGAGAAAAUGGCAGAAGGUUGGCAGAGUUCGUGGUAUAGCUUUGUCUAAUGAGAGAUUUCAGUUCAUUUUUCGGAAUGAACAUGAUUUAGUGGAGAUCUUGGAGAAAGGAGUUCACACCUUUAAUGAGUGGGCUCUGGCUGUGGAAAGUGAUUGAAGCAGUGGUUAUCCCAGAUAAGCCGCAGAAUCAAGACUUUGUUCGGGUAAAAAUCAAGUUCGAUGUGUCCAAACCUCUAAGGCAAUCUAAAGUAGUAAAUUUGCCGGGUGGGAAGUCUACUGUGGUGACCUUCCAUUAUGAAAGAAUCCAGAAAAGAUGUUAUAACUGUCAAAGGCUAACUCAUGAAAAGGAUUUGUGUCCUCUUUUGAUUAAGCAGAGAUUAGAUCAAACAAUUGAUAGGAAGCUUGGGAAAAAGUUUGAGAAGCCCAAGCCGAGUCUUGUUUUAAAAGAGAGUGAUCCUCUUUUUGGGGUUCUGUCUGAAGAUCAAGUUGGAAUGCACCCAGUUCUUGGAAGACCUCGUAUUGCUCCGGAUGUCCUUGAAGGUAUGAGGCAGUAUCUUUUGAUGGGGGAUGGGGAAGAUAGAAAGAUCAGAGAGGCUAGAGUUAAGUCCUCAGUGGCUGAGACUGAAAAAGAUCCUUUCCUGCAAAAGACUGUGCUUCGCAUGGAACCACCUCCAUUAAUUUCUAAUGAUAUCAGUAAAGGCAGGGGAGUGGUCUUUGGGUAUGAUUCUUCUGACUCUUCCUCUAAUUCUGCUCAUUAUUCUCAGCUUGUGGAGAAGUCUUCUCUUGCUGUUGUGGAGAACAGGAACGAAGAUGUCAUCAUUCCUUGGGGAAGCAAUGUUGGGUUGGUUGAUAGUUCAAUUCAAAUGAGGCUCUUCUCUAUUCCUAUUCAGUCUGGUCCGGUACUGGACUUAAUAAGCUAAAUCCAAGAAAAAGACCGACAAAAAAUCAGAGGAAAUUAAAAUGUGCGGUCGUUGGUGGUGAGUCUGCAAAGGUUGUGAAGAAUCCUGGUUUAGAAGAAGGUGUUAUUACAAAAAGAAAGGCAGGGAAAGGAAUUAUGGUCCAAGCAAAAGCUGCAAAGUUCAGCAAAAAUGAGGUAGUCCCAAAUGAGGGACUGUCCCAUAUCUAAUGAGCAUUCUGAGUUGGAAUUGUCAGGGAUUGGGGCGGCCUCAAGAUCUGACAAUUUCUCGUCUCCUAGAGAUGCGUAAAAAACAUUUUCCGGAGAUGUUGUUCUUGAUGAAGACUAUGAAUGUUAGAGAUGUCAAUUGUAGAUAUCCAGGAGUGGUUAGGGUAUGAUAAUGUAUAUACGGUGGAACCGGUUGGCAAGUGUAGUGGGCUUGCUUUCUUUUGGAAGAAAAGUGUUUCUGUGAAUGUUCUUUUUGCUGAUAAAAACAUUCUGGAUAUGAAAGUGGAGUUUGUCCUUCUAGGUUUCUGGUCUCUUGUGUAUAUGGGAAUCCUAGUAGUGAUCUUAGGCACCUGGUUUGGGAAAGACUGACUAGGACAGGAUCUCAAAGAAAGGAUUGUUGGUGCAUGGUUGGAGAUUUUAACGAAAUUCUGCACAAUGGUGAAAAGUUGGGCGGGUCUAGAAGGAGUGAGGCUUAUUUUGUGGAUUUUUCUGUUAUGCUUAAGUCCUGUGACAUGAUUGAGUUGCCUAGCACAGGAAAUGGGUUUACUUGGGGUGGAAGAAGGUAUGAUUUGUGGAUUCAGUGCAAAUUAGACAGAUGUUUUGGAAACAAAGAGUGGUUCAAAAGAUCCCCUGCUUCUAAUCAGCUGUUUUUGGAGAAGAAAGGAUCUGACCAUAGACCUGUUCUAGUCCAAUUAUUCUCUUCGCGGGAAAAGUACAGAGGCUCCUUCAGAUUUGACAAAAGAAUGCUGCAUCAGCCACUGGUUUUGGAUGCAAUUAAAAAAGCUUGAAUGAAUCAGUUUUCUCCUUUUGGUCAUUCUGUUUCUGAUAGACUUAGACGUUGUAGAAAAUCUCUUAGUCAGUGGAAGAAAGAAAAUUUGUCUAACUCUCUGGAAAAAAUUCAAAGAAUCCAGAAUGAUAUAGAGAUUGAGCAUGCGACUUUUGCACCAUCUUUUUUCUGAAUGGACUGUUUACAAAGAGAAAUGGUAAAAGUGCAUAGGGAUGAGGAGAGUUUUUGGAAACAGAAAAGUAGAAAGAAGUGGAUGCAUUCAGGGGAUAAGAAUACUAAGUAUUUUCAUGCAUCAGUUAAGGCUCAAAGAUCAAAGAAUGGCUUGGAUAAGCUUCUGGAUGACCAAGGAAUUAUGCAUAAAUCUGAAGCUUCCAAAGGUGAUGUGGCAUGUAAGUACUUCCAGAAGCUUUUCUCUUCCUCUUAUCCAGACGAUCCUCAUGAACUAUUUGUUGGUUUUCAGCAGAGAGUUUCUCCAUUUAUGAAUGAUUAGUUGGUUGCUGAGGUUACAAGUGAAGAAGUCAGAGCUGCAAUAUUUUCUAUCAAGGCUUCUAGUUCUCCUGGUACUGAUGGAAUGACAGGUUUGUUUUUUCAACAAUAUUGGGAGGUUGUUGGACCGCAGGUUACUGAAGAAGUUCUGAGGUUUUUCAGUGAUGGGUUUUUUGAUAAAGAGUGGAACUUUACUCAGCUCUGUCUUUUACCUAAGAAGAUCAACUCUCCAUUGAUGUCUGAUUUACGUCCCAUUAGCCUUUGCUCGGUGUUAUACAAGGUCAUUUCUAAGAUCUUGGUGUCAAGGUUGCAGCCAUUCUUAUCAGAUAUAGUUUCCCCUUCUCAGUCCGCUUUUGUGGCUGAAAGGUUGAUUUCUGAUAAUAUUUUGAUUGCACAUGAGGUAGUCCAUGGAUUAAGAACUUAUGAUGUGGUGGCUAAGGAGUUUAUGGCAAUUAAAACGGACAUGUCUAAAGCUUACGAUAGGGUGGAGUGGAGCUAUCUUCAUCAUUUGCUUUCUGCCUUGGGUUUUCAUCACAAAUGGAUUAACUGGAUUAUGUUAUGUGUCUCCACUGUCACUUACACAGUUUUAAUUAAUGGACAGGCUUUUGGAAGAAUUGUGCCUCAAAGAGGUUUAAGACAAGGAGACCCCUUGUCUCCUUUUCUUUUUGUGUUAUGCACUGAAGGUCUAACUCACUUGUUGAAUAGGGCUGAACAUGAUGGUCUGAUCAAUGGUAUGCGCUUCUCCCCUCAAGGUCCCUCAAUUCAUCACUUAUUGUUUGCGGAUGAUAGCCUUUUCAUAUGUAAGGCUGAGGAGAAGCAGUGUUUAGCUAUUCAACAGAUUCUUCAUGUGUAUGGUAAGGUUACAGGUCAGGUCAUAAAUCUUGACAAAUCUUCUAUCACAUUUGGUGAUAAAGUUGGGGAAGACUUAAAAGUGAUGGUUAAAAGCCGGUUGGGGAUUGUGAAGGAAGGAGGUUCUGGAACUUAUUUGGGACUCCCUGAAUGUUUUAGUGGUUCAAAAAUUGAGAUGAUGGCUUAUAUUCAUGAGAAGCUUAAGAGUAGGUUGUCUGGAUGGUUUGCUAAGACUCUAUCUCAAGGUGGUAAGGAGAUUUUGCUCAAAUCCGUGGCUAUGGCGAUGCCGGUUUAUGCCAUGUCGUGCUUCAAGUUACCUAAAGGUACAUGCGAAACCCUUUCAAGUGCUAUGUCCUCAUUUUGGUGGAGUUCUGUGGAAAGUAGAAGGAAGAUUCAUUGGGUGGCUUGGGAUAAGAUGUGCCUGACUAAAGAGCAAGGUGGUUUGGGGUUUAAGGACAUUGAGUUGUUCAAUCAAGCGCUCUUGGCCAAACAAGCUUGGAGAUUGCUUCAGUCUCCUGAUAGUCUUUUCUCCUUAUUUUUUAAAAGCAGAUAUUUUGUGGAUCAUAAUUUCUUGGCAGCUGUUACUGGGAAUAGACCGUCCUUUACUUGGAAAAGCAUUUUACAUGGCAGAGAUCUCUUAAUUCAAGGCCUGAAACAGUUGGUGGGGAAUGGAAAUUAUUUAUCUGUUUGGGUGAGUAAGUGGCUGGAUGAUCAUGAUAGGGGAAUUAUGAGGGCUCCUUUCAUGAAAAACAUCUUGGUUAAUCUUGAUCUUCCUGUCUCAGACCUUAUUGAUCCUAUUACCAAAUCAUGGGAUAGGGAUAAAUUGGAGGACCUCUUCUUCCCUGGUGAUAUUGAGCUGAUUGUCAAAAUUAAGCCUGUGAUCUCAUCGGCUGAUUAUUUGUGUUGGAAACAUAAUAAAAGCGGGGAUUAUUCUGUGAAGUCUGGAUAUUGGUUGGCUGCAAAGAUUUACAAAGCUAAAGAUAUUUUUGCAGCAUCUGUUCAAUCGUCUCUUAAUGGAAUCAAAGAUCUGAUUUGGUCCACCAUGGCGCCUACAAAGAUUAAGGUGUUUCUAUGGAAGGUCGUUAGUGGUGCUAUCCCGGUUGCUGAGAGAUUGCUGACAAGAGGUAUGACAAUUGAUUCUAGAUGCCAAAUUUGUGGUGGAGAAGGUGAAUCAAUUGAUCAUGUUCUGUUCUCUUGUCCUCUUGCUAGACAAGUUUGGGCCAUUUCUUUUAUUCCCUCUCCAGAAGGUGGUUUUCAUGCUCACUCCCUUUAUCAUAACAUUCAUUAUGUCUUGUCAUUGAGACAGAAUCACAGAAUUCCUUUGGAGACGAGAAGGUUAGUUCCUUGGAUUAUAUGGCUACUUUGGAAAAACCGCAACAAUCUUCUUUUUGAAAGAAUGGUUUACCAGGUAGCUGACAUGAUGAGAAAAAUCAGGGAGAGCUCCAUUGAAUGGUUUCUUGCUCAGGAAAUUGAGAGAGUGGAGGAUGAGAGGCAGGACAUUGGCCCGAUCAGACACAAUAACAAAUGGAGACCUCCUGCUAAACCGUGGCUGAAGUGUAAUGUUGGGUUCUCUUGGGACAAAGCUAAAUGUACUAGUGGUGCGGCCUGGGUCCUUAGAAAUUCUGAAGGCACUGUUUUGCUACAUAGUAGAAGGGCUUUUGCAGUUAUUGGCUCAAAACAGGAUGCAGAAUUAGAAAGCUGGUUUUGGGCUUUUGAAAGCAUGAGAAGUUUGGAUGUUCUUAAUGUUAUCUUUGCGGUUGAAGGUAAGGAUAUGGUGAAUGAUGUUUCAAGACCUCAGGCGUGGCCAUCUUUCAAGUAUCAAAUAGGCAGAAUUCUUUUGUUGCUUGGUCAUAUUGCAAACUGGAAGCUGGUUCAUGAAGAAAGAAAGGCUAACUUAGGUGCCUUCCUCAUUGCCUGUAGUGUGACAAGAGAGGAUCGUAGUCAAUCAUACGUAGCACAAGGCUACCCUUUUUGGUUACAAGAAGUGUUCACUAAUGAGAGUUGUAUUGCUUAGGUGUAAUACUCUUUUUGUCUCUGUUGGUGAUUGCCCUUGAUCCUUUUGUAAGGUUUAUACCUAAACAGUUUUUUGGUUCUAAUGAAAAAUUCAGAUGAAAAAAAAAAAAAAAAACUCGUAACUCGUAACUCGUAACUCGUAACUCGAAUCAUAGCGAAUGAUGAUAUUUUUUUGGGUCUAAUCCGAAUAAAAAUUUUUUGUUUAGUGUGUCUUAUUUUAUCCAAAAAAAAAUAGUGUCGAUUAUUGUUUCUUCUGGAAAGCCGCCGACAGAAAAUUGUGGGCUCACAUGAAAUUUUUCCAUGAUGCGUCAAAAAGCAACCAAACGACUCCAAAAUAUCAACUCAACAAAUCAAAUUCUCUACACGCAACUUUCUUUCAAAUCCAAUCUCGAUUCAUUGAACCCGCGAAGACCCAGAAACCGAAAUCGAAGACCCAACGAAACCCAUUCAUCGAAACCUCGAAAUCCGUUGAAAGUUUGUUCCUUUUUGGUCGGAGAUGGAGGCUUUGCCGGAGGAUGAAGAGUACAGUUUCAGGGAAGUGGUGUUGCCGUCGUUGAUUCCGGUAGUGCAGGAGCCGGAACUAGAGAGAGAAAGCGGAGAGAGAAGAAGAGGAAGAGAUGUAAUCGUAGCCGUUGAUCAUGGUCCCAAUAGCAAACACGCCUUUGAUUGGGCUCUCGUUCACUUCUGUCGUCUCGCCGAUACUCUUCACCUUGUCCACGCCGUCUCAAGUUCGUUCUCUCUUCAAUGUGAAUAGUAAAUAGUUUGAUUUCGUGUUCUGUGUUCAUUUCCAUUUCCAGAUCUGAAAUCGGAGAUUCUAAGUCUGGUUUUUGAUUUUCUUCAUAGGUGUUAAGAACGAUGUUGUGUAUGAGACGAGCCAAGCUCUCAUGGAGAAACUAGCUAUUGAGGCGUAUCAAGUUGCCAUGGUUAGGGUUUAUUACCUUAUGUUAUCUCUUUUUUGGUGUGCCUAAUAAUGUUGUUUCUUGUUUGCUAAGUUAGGGUCUGAGAAUUCAAUACAAUCAGGUGGCUAUAGAAACAAUAGUUCUAGUCUAUUCAUUAGUUGCAUUUGCUAGCAACCACUAGUUCUUAGAAUCGAAAUCGUUGCUUAGUUUCUUCUCUUGAAUCAAACACUACUAGUUCUAGUCUAUUCAUUUGCAAAAAUUGUUGGUGUGUAUGAGAUGAGCCAACCGCUGAUGGAGAAACUCGCUGUCGAGGCAUUUCAAGUUGCCAUGGUGCCUUAUGUUAUCUCUUUUUUUUUGGUUUUUCUGGUAAUGUUUUGUAGAAGAAACUGUUUCUUAAGUUUUUUGGUCUUUUACUGUUUCUUGAUUGUUUAAGUUAGUGUCUGAGAAUCAAAUACAAUGAAUUAGUUGGCUACUGAAACUAUAUGUAAAGUUUGAAGCUUAGAAUCGAAAUGGUCGAUGUGUAGCUUAGUUUUGUCCCUUGAAACACUCGUUCUAGUCUAUUCAUUUGUCGCAUUUGCUACCAACCGUGUUAAUACAAAACCUCUGGUGUAUUCUUUGAAUUUAAUGACUUAACUUGAUACUGAUUUUUUAUGUUUAGGUAAAGAGUGUGGCUCGUAUUGUUGAAGGCGAUGCUGGUAAAGUAAUCUGCAAGGAAGCAGAGAAAGUGAAGCCUGCUGCUGUAAUUGUGGGCACACGAGGCCGGAGCUUAGUAAGAAGGUUUGUUUGAUAUACAGUAACAACUACUAGCUGUGAUCUAUAUCAGUGUUUUUCUUCUUUCUUUUUCUGAUUUUUGAGUUGGAUGAUUCUCUUUUGGAAUCUUCUGCAGCGUGCUACAAGGGAGUGUAAGCGAGUAUUGUUUCCACAAUUGCAAAUCCGCUCCCGUCAUAAUCGUUCCUGGGAAAGGUACAUGACUAUAUCAAUCAAUCAUCGUAAAACCCGAGUCAUUUUCACAGUUCGUUUGUAUAACUAAAAGAAACCUUGUGUUCUAAUGCAGAAGCUGGAGACGAGUCGAUUGUGGACUGGACACGUUCAGAAGAUCCAAAACCCUGAAGAAAAGUUCAAGUAUUUCCACGAAGACUGUUUUGUUUUUCAUUUUUCUUUCGCUAUUGUUGCAGUCUUUGUUUCUGUAAGUUCGUAAAGAAAACUUGAAAUGCUUCUUCUUCGUCUCUUUGUGUGUGUAUGUGUUUUGAUUUGGGUUUUGUAGUUUCAAAUUUCUGUAUAAAACCUUUGCUCAGGAAUGAAAUUAUUGUACGCAAUGGUGUCAUGUGUUUCAGACUUUUCACUAAACAAAUCUAUAGCAGAAACUAUUUCUUUUACGCAUUUGAUCGAACACUUGGUGUGCGUCUUUGUGAAACAUAGAAAGAUAACAGAUUUGUUGAUUACUGGAGAGAUAAGUCAACCAUGGCGGAGUUUGGAGAGCUCGAAGCUCAAGAUGGAGUUAGAAUGCCAUGGAACAUCAUCCCCGUCGCAACGAAGAAAGAACAAUCAAUCGACUCUGAAAUUCCAGUUUCCGCCAUUUACACACCUCUGAAACCUCUCGCCGAUCAUUCUCUUCUCCUUCCUUACUCUCCUCUCCGUUGCCGGACUUGUCGCUCCGUUCUAAACCCUUACUCCGUCGUCGAUUUUUCCGCCUGUAUUUGGGGUUGUCCUUUCUGCUUCAAUCGGAAUCCUUUCCCGCGUAAUUACUCUUCAAUCGCCGAUAACAAUCUCCCGCCGGAGCUUUUUCCACAUUCCACAACUGUUGAGUAUCUUUGUGACUCCUUCUCUUCUCCUUCUCCUCCUGUUUUCCUCUUCGUCGUUGAUACUUGCUUGAUCUCUGAAGAACUUGAUUUCCUCAAAUCAUCUCUCUUCCAAGCUUUGGAUCUUCUUCCUGAUACCUCCAUCGUCGGUCUCAUUACCUUUGAUUCAUUAGUUCGUGUUUACGAGCUUGGAUUCCCACACUGUACCAAAUCUUACUUCUUCCAUGGAAACAAAGACUGUACUAAAGAUCAGCUCUUGGAUCAGCUGAGUUUCUUCGUCAAGAACCCUAAACCUUCUUCAGGUGUCAUUGCUGGUGCUAGAGAUGGUCUCUCUUCCGACGACAUUGCACGGUUUCUGUUACCGGCCUCCGAUUGCCAGUUUACUCUUCACUCUGUUCGUAAAUUCAUUGCCUUUCAACUUAUCUUCUCUUUAUAUAUUCAACAUUGUGUUCACUAGUUAACUUCUGUUUUGUUUCCUGGUUUAGGUUCUUGAGGAGCUGGGAAACAAUCCCUGGCCCGUUGCACCUGAUCACCGCCCUGCGAGAUGCACUGGUGUUGCCCUCCGAAUCGCUGCUGGUCUCUUAGGAGCUUGCUUUCCUGGCUCUGCUGCUCGAAUCAUGGCUUUUAUUGGUGGACCUUCCACUGAAGGCCCUGGAGCUGUAAGUCUUUUCUCUUGUUAAUCAUAUCCGUUGGUAGAAACUCGGUGCUAGCUGAUGCUCUUUUAUUGCCUUUUUCUAGAUUGUUUCCCAGGAGCUUUCGGAUCCAAUUCGCUCUCAUAAGGACAUUGAUAAAGAUUCUGCUACGUAUUACCACAAUGCUGUCGAGUUCUAUGAGAUGCUUGCAAAACAACUCGUUCAUCAAGGUCAUGUUCUUGAUGUUUUCGCAAGUUCUGUUGAUCAGGUGAUUGUAUGGAGAAAUUUGUUAGUACUCUUUUUCUUGUUUUAUAGCUACCGUUUUUAUUUAUUAUAAGCAUCUCUAGGUAGGCAUUGCUGAGCUCAAAGUUGCAGUUGAGCAGACUGGUGGAUUUGUUGUGCUUGCUGAAAGUUUUGGCCACUCAGUAUUUAGGGAUUCUCUCAAACGCGUGUGUCAGUCAGGUGAAAAUGAUCUAGGCUUGUCCUCAUGGUAAUGGCUUACCUAACUUUCAUGUAUGUUUUCUUUAUCGAAAAUGAACAAUCUUUUGUCUGCUAUGUUUAGCUUCAGCGAGUUGUUUCUUAUGAUCUGUUUCCCUCUUACAGUGGUAUAUUUGAAAUUAACUGCUCAAAGGAUAUCAAAGUUCAGGGAAUUAUUGGCCCUUGCGCAUCUCUCGAAAAGGUAUCAUAUAAAACUGUUAAAGGUAUCUAUUUUUCCUUGAGCUUGUUGUGAUCACUUUCUGAUGAUUGUUUGCAGAAAGGACCGUUGUGCUCUGACACUGCCGUCGGUCAGGGACACACAAGCGCAUGGAAGAUGUGUGGCCUUGACAAAAACACUUCAAUAUGUUUGGUUUUUGAAAUUGCUAAAAGGGAUACAGCUGAUGUUGUUUUGCAGUCGCAGAGCAAUCAGUUUUACUUUCAAUUUUUAACAUAGUAAGGGAUUUCAAGUUUUCCAUCUUAAGUUAUUAUUGCAAGUUAUGGAUGUAAUAUGACACGCUUUCUGCUUACAGCUAUCAGCACUCAAAUGGUCAAACAAGACUCCGGGUAACAACUCUUUCAAGAAGAUGGGUAAUGGGAACUGAAAGCUUACAGGCAAGUUUUGAGUAGUAUGUGAAUCUACUGUCUUAAAUAGGGAGCCAUUUGGAAGAGAUUCUUCUAACGUUUAGAGGAUAGCAUUUAUAUUACCACUUCAGUAUGAUUGGUGGUGUAAUAUAUAUGAGAAACGAGUUGCCACACCAGUUAUAUUAUGGAAAAUUUAUGGCUUAUUUCAUCUUAUGUUCUUAGUAAUCCAUUCUAAGCCAGGUUUGAGAAUUGUUCAGUGGUUUUGUACAUGGCUAGACUAAUCCUGUUUUCUCUGCAUAUAACUAUGGUCUCUAACUCUUCCUUGGAAAUUGCGUUGUGAAGUAUAGGAGUUGAGCAAUGGUUUUGACCAAGAAGUAGCUGCUGUAGUAAUGGCACGGCUUAUUUCUUUCAAAAUGGAGACUCAGGUACUCGAUGAUGAGAGCUAGAGUUAGAUUCCUUAAGCUGAAUAGCUGAUAGAGGAUAUCAUGUUUUAGUGUUUCUUAGGUUUCUUAUUUGUUCUUUUACAGCCUGAGUUUAAUCCCCAAAGGUGGCUCGAUAAAGCUUUGAUAAAUAUAUGCACCUGGUUUGGAGAUUACCAGAAAGGCAAUCCUUCUUCCUUUAGCUUGUCUUCUCAGUUAUCAAUUUUCCCGCAGUUUGUGUUUCACUUGCGCCGAUCUCAGUUUGUCCAGGUACUCUCUUCUCACUGCCCAUAAAUACAUGAGAGACUGAAAUUACUUUUAACGCUCAAUUUUAUCUUUUUGAGCUCAUUUGGCUUUUCCCCUUUGUAGGUCUUUAACAACAGCCCAGACGAGACAGUAUAUUUUCGAAUGAUAUUGUACAGAGAGAACGUUUCGAAUUCAAUCGUGAUGAUUCAACCUUCACUGAUUUCUUUCUCAUUCCAUUCACCGCCAGAACCAAUUCUUCUUGAUGUAGCAUCCAUUGCAGCUGACAGAAUCCUACUGUUGGAUUCAUACUUCACUCUUGUAAUAUUUCAUGGUUCUACCAUCGCCCAAUGGCAAAAAGCUGGAUACCAUAAUCAACCUGAACACCAGGUAUUAUCAUCCAUAAUCUUAAAACAGAGAUGAUAAAAGUUGUCUUCUAGAGUCUGAUCUUCAUAAAAACUUGUCUUCUUUGCGCCAGGCAUUUGAGCAUCUGUUGCAAUCACCUCGCGACUACGCAGACACAAUCAUCAAUGAACGGUUUCCCACUCCGCGUCUUGUCAUAUGUGAUCAGUAUGGUUCACAGGUACCUCUCCUUCUUUGCUCAUGCCUCCAUUUUCCGACCAGAGUUAGUAAAAAUUCCGAGCUAGAGGUUCCAUUUGGAUGCUUAUUAUUGUUGUUUUGGUUGUUUCUCUUGCUGUGUAUUUUUGGCAGGCGCGUUUUCUUCUAGCAAAACUGAAUCCUUCUGAUGGCGAAGCUCCUCUUUCCGGGGAGAGUAAUGUUUUCACAGAUGAUGUUAGCUUGUCUGUGUUUCUUGAUCAUCUUAGACGACUCAUUGUUCACUGAUAUAUGAGCCUGCCAUUUAGCUAAUGACUUGAUUCGCACUCGUAACAGAUAUUUUUAUGUUUACGUGAGAAAGUGACAAAAAGAUUUAGGCAAGAUUCCUUUUUCACAUUAAACAUAAGAGACCUUAAAAAAAUGGAAAAGCACCAAAAAACUUGAUCUUAAUUUAAAAAUGGAAAAUCACCAAAACAACCUAACGUGAAAAGGAAAAGCAACAAAACCCAUACUUCGUAUCAUCAAUCUCCAAAAUAUUUCUAUAAACAAAAAUUGAAGAUUCAUUAAAGUUAAGGGGUCCAAACAUAAUUUAGAAGAACGUACAUCCAAUAAUACAAGGGGUCCCUUGUACACAAUUAAAAAUUAAGGGGUCAAAUUUGAAGAAAUAGCUAAAUAAGAUCUUCUUAAAACGCUGCGUUUAGUAACUUGCUCUCCAAGGAGAUCUACCGUGUUCUAGUCGCACCUGAUUACAACCUAGAACUGUAUAUAUAUACACGUCGUCUUUGUGCUUGCAGAGAAAGAAAAACAGAAAAAGAGAAGGAACUUGCAGAGAAAGCAAAAAAAAAAGAAGAAGAAGCGAAGAAGAGAAACUAAAGAUUCAGGUACUUUCUAGCUUCGAAUCUCUUCAUUGAUUUCUUUCUUAUGAAUUACUUGUGAUCGAUAAUGAUGCUCGCGAGUUCUGUUUACGAAUUUACUGAAUCGUCGCAGCAAGUUUUGAGAAAUUCGUUAGUUUUUGUUUGAAUCUCUCUUAGGAAUUUGGUCGAACACUUGGUGGGUAUCUUGUUUAUAUGAAUCGUUGUGAAAUUGUUUUGUUUUUGCAUCACAGAGUGUUUUCUUGCGAAUGAUUGAUCUGAUGAUUUUGGUUGUCGAGAAUCCGAAUGGUUUUGGUUAGAUGUUUAAGUUAUGUUUGUGAGACUUUAGGGUUCUUGAGACUUGGUUUCGAUUAUUGGAUUAACAUAACUAAUUGGAUCAUUCGUAUUCAUGAGAUUUCUUUGUGUUUUUGGAGCAGGAACAAAUGGCUUCCCAGACAAAGCAAACCGUGGUGGAUACACAGAAAAUUGAAACCGAGAACCCGCCAAAACCGGAAGUGCCUUUAUCAUCAUGCAGGAAGAGGGUGAAGGAUGAUAAUGCCACUUUCUUUGAAAACCUCAAGGAUCACAUGGAUGAAUUCAUCCAUGCCUCAAUGGAUGAACACAAGACUUGUUUCAAAAACACCAUGAACAAGGUUCUUUCUCUAUUCUCUACUAUCUCCUGAUGACACUCACAUUCAUGUAUAGUCAUAUUCAUUCACAGUACUAAUCUAUUAUGAAUAAACUCAUCUUGAACUCUGCAACUCUAUUGAUGUAUUGUGGAUUCGGCAUAUCGUGUAGUCUUUGCAAGCAGUAGAAAAACCGUCGCUGAUGUGUUUUAUUCAUCUUCAAGAUGCUUGUUCAUGAUUAGAAUGCAUGAUUAUCUAUGUCUAUUAUCUAUUGUUGAUCUGUCCCUUAACUCAUGUGGUUGGAUCUCUCAGAUGUUCGGGACCUUUUCGAAGUCGGAUGCAGUUGCAGAGAAGCAAUUUGAGGCUAAGGAAGUCGUCGAGAUUCACUCUCCUCUUCAGGCAGCAGUGACUAAGUAGAGGAUUCACAACUACUGAGCUCAGAAAAACUAUGAAGUGUUUUCUUUUUCUUUUAUCUUGUUUAAAGUUUUAGAACAACUUUCUAUGGUGUGCACAAAUACUCUUCAAGUAUUUGGGUGUUAAUACUCUUAGAACCUGCUAUCUUUAAUCUAUUCUAAUAUCAGACAACUUGUUUCUAGACCAUUGCAUUAAUCAUCUUUACUAAUUUCAUUUAAUAUGCAAGUCUUUAUCAUGAUUACAUCCAUAGAAGCAUACCAAUAUCUUGCAAAAAUCAUUCCCUGCUUUAUACUUUGUUUAAAUACUAAAUAGAUAACAUUGAUUGCCAUUUAACAAUUUUAUGAACAUAUGACCAUGGAUCGCCAAACUUAUAUAUAAAAGUUGCAAAAACAUUCGUUGGUUUGGCUUGGAAUCCUCUGUUAUGAACUUAUGAUUAUGAAAUUAUAUAAACUUUUUUAAUAAUAAUUAUAUUAAAAAAAAUUGUUAGGCUUGAUAAAUUAUUGUUAAAAAGUUGAUAUUUUGGUGCAAUUGUAUAUAUUUCUUCGUAAUUGGCGGAUUGGAUCCGCCCUCUUGUAUUGGCGGAUAAGACUUAAAACACUUAACCCUAGCUGUGGAAUUUUUUUUACUUGAGGAAAGAAAUAUAUCUUGGCUAACAAUUUGCAAUAUCUUAUCCAAAAUACGGUUAGAAUGGUAUUGUUUCAAUGUUAGUGUGCUGUGUUUCAAUGAAACAGUUUUAUCUUUAUUAAGAAAUAUCUUUUCACAAAAUUAUAGAUUUUUACUUUUUCCCCAAGAAGAAUGUACAUACAAUUGUUCUCAGAUAAAAUUUUGCCCUUAACAGAUUUUUACUUUUACCUCAAACAUAAUUCUUUUUUAUGUUUAAGGGGGUGUUCUUGAAAAUCUUUGAUUUAAAAUCCAUGAUUGAAUAAUAGAGAAGCAACUAGGGAUUAACAAAAUACAUUUACUAACCUUUAUUUUCUCUGUUCCUAAUUGAUUGUUGUUCUAGCAUUUUUUUUUCCAAAAAAUGGAUUUUUUAGUUCUUUUUUUCUUUUUUUUCUUAUUGAUUCAUAUUAUAAAUCGUAAACUCAAGACUCCAUGAUUAAAUUUAUCAAAUUACUAUUGGUUCGUUCAUAGCUAUUGAAAAAUGUUUGAUAUAAAAAAUAAUACUGUAAUGAUUAAAUCUUGUCUAAACAAAAAGAUAGGUUGAAACUAACUCAGGUUCGAUCCACCCUAAAAACAAAAAUCACAUUUGUUUGGGUGUGGGAAGUCUGGGCUUGGGUUUUGGCCCAAGCAAUUCACAUGGUAUCCAAGAUUAGCCUAACUGGAUACCCCAGACAUUAGUCGGAAAGCAUUCCAAACUUGGGGUUAGGCAGUGUGGUAGUCCAACACCUAGAUGUUGGCGACGAGUCCACAUGGUACCAAUUCGGCAACACCUAGGCAUGUCAAUCGGGCUAGCCUGGCCCGGCCCGAAGCCCGCAAAACCCGUACAUAUUUGAGCCCGGCUCAGCCCGUCCGUAAAAAUUCCGAGCCUAUAUUUUAAAACCCGGCCCGGCCCUAACAGGGCUACAUGGCUUUUCCGGGCUACAUAGCUUUUCCGGGCUUUUUUGGACUUUUCUUCCGACAACAAAAAAACAAACUUAUAAUUUAUAAUAUCUCUUAAAAAAAAUCUAUAUAUGAAAGGAGUCAAUCAAAAUUUAAAUAACCACUAACACUAAUUUAGUUUUUUAAAAAGAGAAUUAAAAUCAAAUAAAUAAUUCAAAUAAAUUGUUUAAACUUAUACUAGAUAAAAUAUAAAAUAAAAAUAAUUCAAAUUAGGUAGUAGAGAUAAUAUUUGUUUCUUAGAUUUAUAGUAAUACACAAUUAAAAAACUUAGUUUAGGAUUUUAAACUCUAUCAAAAACUUUUUUUACAACAAAUGUUACAAUUAAACGAAAAUAUUAACAAAAAAAAAGGGUCUAAAUAUUUUUUAAAGGGCUUUUCGGGCUAGCCCGAGCCCGGCCGGGCUAAGCCCAAAAAACCCUUUAGCCAGAACGGGCUUAGCCCGAAGGCCCGAUUUUUCCUGGACAUAUAUUUUGAAGCCCGAGCCCGGUGUUUUUUAAGGCUGGGCCGGGCUAGCCCGCGGGCUUUGGCCCGAAUUGACAUGUCUAGUUCCCUCCGGGCUGACCGGAUCAGCCGAUCGGAUAUAUAUAUAUUAAAAAAAAAAAAAGAUAAGUCCGAUACAAAAAUUAGAGUUUUCUAAGGAUCAAAGAUUAGAGAAUAUGGCUCUGUGGUUUCUGUUUGCGCACACAACCAUGGGAGUCUCUUAUGAUCCUCACUUGGAAGACGGACUACGGCAUGACUCUUCCUCCCUUAAGAAUUUACCACAUUAUGUGGAUGUUAAGUUAAGUAUACAUUUACAUAGUUCAUAUGUAGUUAACUUAUACAUUGAGAAUUAGUUCAUUUUACAUAUAGAGUCAUCUAUAUUUAACUAAACAUUAACUUUACAUCGACAUGGUUGUUAUAUUCCCAAAUAGUUAACUACUUACACAAAAUAGUUACUUCAUUUCCUUGUUCUCCUAAUUUUCAUUUUCAAUCAAACUCAGUUGUUGUUGUUAUGAGUUUAAGAUCUUGUCUAGUAUUACAGACACAACUCAGAAGUAUUCUUUGCCCUAUAUCAUAAACAGAACAAAAUAAACAAACUUUUUCAGAGAACAAGGUAUUAAUAGUUGAGCAACAACAUAAUUAUUCUAGAAACUUAGACAAACAGUUUUAUGUAGUAUUGGAUUGCUACAAAUGUUUACUGAUAAAAAAUACAGUUCUAUGCUAACAAUGUCUGAUGAGAAGAAGAUUAACAUCAAAUUCUUCAAAGCAAAUGAUUAACAUUUUUUUCUCCUUGUAUAUUCUCUCAUCAACCAAUAAAAAUCCCUGGCCCUGACCAUGGAUGGAGAUUCUCCAUUUCCUAAGUUCUUUUCUUCAAAGAUUCCAAGAAACAAGAAAAUAAAAAUAACUCUACUGUUAUAGGCUGCUACUAUGGCUGAUUUAGGACCAGUCUUGUGUCUGUGGAUACUUUUUUCCCUCAAAUGGGAAUAGCUCUUAUGGGAUUCCUGGUGAUAAUAUGCCAUUUCCUUCUUUUGCGUAAAGUUUGUCCGAAUCAAAUUUUGUAAAGGGAUCAUUCUUUUGUUGAUAAUAAUAUCUCACCACUAUCCUCAAAAAAUCCUUCUAAAACAUAUUGAGCUACAGAAACUUCCAUUAUAGUGUGAUUACUUCAGGUUCGGGUUCUUCUCCAAGUUGCGCAAAAGGAGCAAACCACUAGGAGAGGAAUCAGAAUACUUAGUUUUUGUUUCUUGCUAGAUUUGGGGAUAAGGGUUCCAAAUAUCAACAUAAAUUUUGUAACAAAUUUAAAAAGCUUACUCUUUACCUUCCUUUUCAUACAGAUUCCUUGUAAGCUACUCCUGGUAAAUUCUCAACAAUGAUCACUGGAGCUAGAAUCAAGACAGAUAUUGGAAUAAAAUCCUCAAGCCUUUACUGGUGUAAUAGUGAAAAAGUAAAAAUAAGCCUUGCUCAAAAACAAGCAAGUGACCUUAUGAACUCAAGAUUAUUAUUUCCACAACUAAAGAACCUAAAUGUGGGGAAAGUGUUUCAUUUUUACCAUUUUAAUACCUAGGCAAAGAGGGUCGCUGUGAAGAAUCGUGACGAUGAGAAUAUCAGUAGUGCAAUGCCUACUAGCAGAAUUUCUUAGCAACUUGCAAUCUAUUAUCUCUCUGGAAUAUAUUGUGCCCCAAGGCCUCAUUAUUAUUAAGAUUCUUUCUCUGUUUAAAGUUUUCCUUCUCGAUAAGAAGUUUCGCCCUAACCAAACCACGACAUCUUAGAAACAGAACCAUCCAUAUCAUAACUAGAAUAAAAAUAUCUAGAUCUUGAGAUAAUUUGGAUCACAGAAACGAAAAUAUCUUUAUAGAAGUGCUUAUAUUGGCAUAUAUCCAGAAAGAGAGCAAAUUAGAGUAUCAUAAGACCUCUACAAGUAAGGGAAUAUCAUCUUAAUUACUUUGCCAAGCUAAUAACACUUAGUGAAACUAUAAUCAAGAAAGAUCCAAGAAGUAUGGUUCUUAGUAGCUUUACUUUAAAAAAUGUGUAGGCAAUAACUUUACAAAGUCUUGGAGUCUUUUGAAAACUAACCUGAUUCAAUAGCCAUAACUGAUAAGAUAUGAGUAUGGUCGUCCAUCUCCCAUGGCACUUUGAGUCACCUGUGUUUCCGAGAGAGGAAAAUCUUGAGACUUUAAAUCAAUCUGUCAACUUUACUAUGAGCUAAAAUCAAACAACAAGUGCAUCAUUAAUGAACAACCUUUGUUGCAUGAAAAGAAAAUCUUCAAAUCUUUAAAGAAUGACAUAACCAUGAAACAAAAUGCUCACUUUCUGAGUUAAAACCAAACAACAAGUGGAUCAUUGAUGCAUGUUGUCUUUUUGCCAAGUAUGUAUAUAGUCCUAUUGUGCAUUAUUUGGUGUGAUCUUUUUAGCAACCUAAUUUAGUUACAGGACAAUAAUCUAUUUGCCCAUCCCAACCCUGGAUUCUUACCAAACAAGGUAACUAAUUGUUCUUGUGAAACAUCAGUGUUUAUAAUACGACAACAAACCAUUAUAAUAUGUAAAAAUUUUGGUUCCUGCCCAUAUGCAAUAAUGCAGACACCAAAGAACAGGAAAAAAAAAACAAUUUGAAUAUCCACCAAGAAAAGUGAUUAUUUAACAAAUUAACAACCAAGAAUCCACAUUAGACAAUAUAUGACCAAGAAAAACACAGUUGCCUAACUUCAAGGAGAUGGACCCAACAAGGCAAGGAAAAAAAAGGUAGGUAAACAAUGUUGACCUUUUUUUUUCAACAACAACAAAACACACAAAAAAUGUCGAUGAUUGUACGGAAAGAUCUAUACAGCUAAAUAACUUGAUAUGAUGUCCAUGGCAGAGAAUCUCAAGGUAAAGCUCUGCCCCCACUUUCCUUUAAGAAUUCUUCUUAUACAAGAGAAUAUAUGACUUAUGGUGAACACACGAAAAGCUCUAAUUUUGUGUUUGUGGAUACAAAUUAAUCCUCACAAUGUUUCAAAUCACUGAGAUUUUUUAUAAGAAGGAAAUCUGAAUAGUCAAUGAAAAUCAUCUGUCAAUAGAGACUUGUCCCUAACUUUAAUCCAAAGGCUUGUAAUUUUCCUAGUCUCGCGAGCACGUGAGCUUUGUGCUGUGAUUAGAGACCAGACUGUUCCAUGACUUAAGUACCAUAGGUAGAGAGAUUUUCCUAACUAUUUAUUACCUAAACUGUUUCUUUUGACAACAAGCUUAAUCUAGAGAAUGACGUCAUAACCACUAAUUGGGAAAGAAAAGUAAACACAUUAGUUAUAACAUUUAUAGAAAAGUGUCUCUAGGGAGCAUCAUAUGCCAAAUAUGGAUAGAAAAACGCAAUCUUUGGUUGAUUAGUUUGGAUCUUUGAUACUGAUCUCCACAACAAAAUUUGCUCAUAUUAUUUUCUAGCUAUAGAGACAAAGACUUAAAAUUCUCUUUGUUUUGGCAAAGAUAUCUUUAACAACUGGGCCUACCUCACACCAAAACCUCUUUAUAAAGAGCAAGGACUCUGCGACAUCUGUGCAACAUAUCAUUUCCUCAGAAUCUCUUUCUUAUUUUAACACAAAACCAAACAUCAACUUUAGUUACUAAACAAUGGCAUCAGGCUCAAUGUCUUCUUAUGGCUCUGGCUCAUGGACUGUUAAGCAGAACAAAGCCUUUGAGCGUGCUCUAGCAGUCUAUGACCAAGACACUCCUGACCGUUGGCACAAUAUUGCUAGAUCUGUUGGUGGUAAAACACCCGAAGAAGCUAAGAGACAAUAUGACCUUCUCGUGCGUGACAUCGAAAGCAUCGAGAAUGGUCACGUGCCGUUCCCUGACUACAAGACUACUACUGGAAACAGCAACAGAGGCAGGCUGCGUGAUGAGGAAAAGAGGUAAUAAGACACAUUUUAUACUAAUAACAACUAAAUCAACUUUGUUUAUCCAUAAUAGCCCACUAUUAAGAUACUUCUAUAGCAUGACAAGAAAACAUAAAAAAGGGCAUGUCUGUUUCAGCAGAAAGCUUGUUACUUUACAAAGAUUCUCUUAUAUUAAAGUUAUGAGAGGCUCUAAAUCAUCCAAGUGUUCUCUUCUCAGUGUUCUUGAGGCUUUAUCACAACACAAACUAAAAGCUCCCAUAUAAAAAAAAUAUGCCUAGAAAUAGAAUCAUUCCUUGUCAAUAUUAAUUGAUUCCCAAAUCUUUCACCAAGAAACUUCCAGAAACCUAUGAAACUCGAACCAACAAGAUUUUAAUCUCUCUUCUUUUUGCAGGAUGAGAAGCAUGAAGCUGCAGUGAAACAAGAAGCAACAAAAAAAAAAAAAACUAACUACGUAUGAUCGUCAAGAAAAUAAAAGAGAAUCACUUCAGGGAGAUGUGUUUUUCUCAAUGUCUGACGAAUCAAUGUUUUUUUUCUUGCAAUUUCUCAUGUUUUCCCUAAGAAUUGGUUUUUUUUUUUGAGGCAAAAAAAAGCACUCGAAUUAGUUAACCAAAAUCUGUAUUUAGGGUUCUUCGUAAUGAAAAAUCCAUUGUCUAAAAUCACAAUAAAAAUGUUGAUUAUAUAUUACUAUCAAGCUUUAACGAAUAAUUCAGUCACGGAUUAAUCUCAACCAAUCUGAAUCAAUGUUGCUUCAAAAUGGAAAAAUCCAAAGUGAUAAAUCAAUUAAAUAUAAUGGAGAAUCCAAUAAUGGAAAAAGUAUAUGCGAAUCGGACAAGAAGAAGUCUCGAAAUCAACGAAUCAAUUAACCAAUCUCUAUUUUUAGGGUUCUUCGAAAUUUGGGAAUUUUUUUUUAUCAAAUUAUUCAACUUUGAAUGUUGAUAAUUGGUGAAUCACUGUUUAUUGAUAAUCAAAUCAUGUCACGGGAAGAUAAAAACUCACCUCGAAAAAUCUGCAAUUUCUGAUCGCAAUCUUCAAAAUCCAGCGAAAAUCAAAUAGAGUUUCAAAAUUUUGGGAAUUUUAUAGAAAACCAAAACCCCCAAAUUUUCAAUUCAACAGUUUUUUUUUUUUGGUAUAGAGAGGAAAAAACAAAAUUAGGCGGGAAAUCUGAUUGUUCAAAAAGUAUGUCAAGUGCAAUUAAUUAGUUAUACCACAGAUAUACCGUACGGAUACGAUUUUGUACCCAUGUACGGUAUACCAAUACACAUGCAUAUGUCCCUCACCGUAUUCUUUUUUUUAUGAAUACAGUCAUUUUAUUUCUUAAACUGAAGUAUAUCCACUAAAGGACAAGUAAAACUUGUAUUUUGUUCGUGUUAUCUUUGAUAAAAUGCCAAAGAGAAAAACAGAAUGACUAGAACCCAGAUUAUCUUUGGUUAAUGGAUUUCAGCGGAUUGUGAGAAGCUCCUUAUUUUGAUUAAGCGAUGGGUACAGAAAAAUCAAGAAUUUUGUGAGAGAAUAUGGUCAAAAAUACUUCUGAAAGAUUACUUCUAAGCUUUCCAAGUAUCAAAGAAUACCUCUGAGCAAUGUUAGAUCUCCAAGUAUAGACCAAGAGUUUUCAUUUGGUUAUGAAGUUCACUUUACUAUCUCUAAGGAGAAAAGGGAUCUAUGUCUACAUCUUCAAGUGAGCAUUGAAAGACUCAAGCUCCUAUUAAGUCAACAAAUUUGCGGUUUCAAACUUAGCGUAGUUGUUCCACUCACGAUAAGUUUGCGGGAGAGUUUUAGAGCAUUUAUAGCAAGGCCAAGAUUAUGAAUCUAUGAUAUUGGAAAAGCCCAGGCCAUGUAAUUAGAUCUAAGCAAGUAGGUUCAUAUAUAUAGUCUCUUGUAAUUAACAUCAAAUAGUCAAUCUUGAGAGUUGCCUCAAAACUACUCUACUUCUUCAUCUUAUGAAAUAUCAAAUCUUGUGUUUUUGGUGACAAUCAAUAAAGUUCUUUACUUUUAUCUUUCUUUGCAUAAUAAAGCUCUUAAUGAGCUAUCUAGGCCUGGGCAUUCGGGUUCGGUUCUUUUUUUCGGGUAUCGGGUCUAUUCAGGUAGGGGGUCAAGACCCAUUCGGGUAUUCUAAAAAUUCGGUUCGGGUUCGGGUCGGUUCGGGUAUUUUAAUAAAAAAAGCAAAAUACCCGAAAAUAACCAAAAAUACCCGAAAUAUUUUCGGGUUCGGGUUUUUAACUCAUAUAUACCCAAAUCUAACCGAAAUACCCGAUUUCUCAAAAAUACAUUGGUUACUCUUUACCCAAAUAUAACCAAAAAUAUCUAAAAAUACUAAAAUUACCCAAAAGAAAACUACAUCAUUAGUUACUUUUUAACCAAAUAUAUCCAAAUGUAUCCGAAUUACUCAAAAAUACCUAAUAUAUUCGGAUUUAUGAUUGUAAUUUUAGGUAUUUUGGGUAUUAUAAAUAUAAAUAUAACUAAUAUUUUUAGGUGUAUAUUUGUAUUCGGGUACAUUCGGGUACAUUCGGGUAUUGGAUUCGGUUCGGGUUCGGUUCGGGUUUUUUUCGGGUAGGAGGUUAGGACCCAUUCGGGUAUUUUUAAAAAUCGGGUUCGGGUUCGGUUCGGGUAUUUUUCGGGUUUUUCGGUUCGGGUAUUCGGUUCCGGGUAUUUUGCCCAGGCCUAGAGCUAUCUUAUUUUCAGUUUUAGAUUUCAAUGUUAAUAAGAGCUUGAAUCCUACUAGCUAUGGAUUUUCCUACAUGAACAACCGUAUCAUAUUUUGUAUGUAAAUAAUAUUCUAUCGAAUUGGUAUAUUUAUGCUAUCCAUCGAAUAAAUAGAUGUUGACAAACAUAGCACACUGAUGGGUGUUAUAUAAUCAUAGAUUUUUUGUUUGAAUUGAAUGUAAAAUUGUAUUCAACCAAAAACUUUUGUACAAUGAAUACGACUGUUUGUUCUAGAGUUUCAAUAAAAUAAAAUAAAAAGAGAGUUUGAGGAAAUAUAUAUAAAUGGUCUUGAUUUUGGUGUUGAUCGAGUAGAGAACCACAAAUUUAGGCCGUUAUAUGAUCUCCUAAGUCGCUGAUUGAGUUGAUGCGAUUCCGGACAAUUUUUCCAAUGAAUUUGCAUUAAUGUAACUGAGCUUUUGGAGAUCCAUGUGUCUUCUUGCGUUUCUCUCAUUGCCAAAUGUGGUAUUGUGGUAUAAAGUGGUUUGGAAAUUGGAAGACUACAAUUAUGGAUUUUAAAUCUAGAUAAUUAACUUUAGGAUGAUUGAAUAAUAUCCUCUAAAUUUUUAACUAUUGUUCCAAAUAUGUAAAUAACUUCCUUUUUUUCUUUAAAAUACUAACCAAGACGAAUAAGGUCCAAACCAUGUUGGAGAGCUGAUUCUAUGACGAACCCAAUGCCGGAUGAAACCAGUAGAAUAUGAUCUGUAAGAUGAAGGAUGGUUCGGUUCAGCAUUUAUGAAUAUCCUCGAGCAUCGCAGUCUUUUCAGAAUUAAAACCAAUGAUAUUUAGCUUCGGAUUUUAUGUUAAAAUUAAUAGAGUAAUUUCAUGUUUUUCUUUCGUUAAGCACUAGAUGUUUCUCUAAUUAUUGUUCCACAAAUGUUACUCAACUUCUCUUAUUUUUCUUCUUUCAUUACUUACUAGAGAAAAUUCCGGGCUAUGCCCGGAUAUAUAUUUAACAUUCAUCAUAUUUUAAAUUAAUUAAUAUAGUUUAAAUUCUUUUAUUUUUUUAGUGUACAUACGAAAAAUCAUGUGAUGUUUAUUUUAUUCCAAAUUCUCUAGUUCUUUAUUUAUAAUAUGAAAUUUAUGAUUUUCUUCAUGUUAAGAAAUAUUUUAAUUAUUUUAUGUUUUCAAAGAUUAGAUUACUAUCAUCUUACUCCAUAGAUAACAUUUUGCAUAUUUGAUAAGUUUGUGGAAUAUUUUAGCUAAACACUAUUGAGUAUGCAUGGUUUUCUAUGUUUAAGAAUCAUAACUUCAUAAUGCCAAGUUCUAGCGCGGGUUGUUUCUUUUUGUGUUUGUACUUUGUCGUUUGUAUUAUGUGGAUAUGAAUUAGAAGGUAAUUCAAUUUCUCGUCCAUAUAAAAAUUCGACUGUAGUUUAAUUCAGCGUGAAUAUACAAUUUAAUUGUAUUUUGCAUAUUAAACAAGAAAAUAUGGAAGAGAGAUGGAAAAUAAUCAAUGGAGAGACUCGAACACUUAUGCUAAAAGUCAUCAUAUUAGCGAAUUGAACACUUAUAUUUCAAUUUUCUUUUCUCCAAUCUUUGUGACUUGCAGCAUUCUCCUUCUCCUCCAAAAUUUUCUCAUGCUUAAGCACGUGAAGAAUGUUAAGUUCCACACAAAGCGAGUCUUACCUUUGUGAAAAUAUCCGUAAAUGAUAUUUUGUUGGACUGAAAGAAUUUUUUUUUAAAAGAAUUUCAAGAAUGAUGAAGGUCUUUGGAAGUCACUUUUGGAGAACCUUAUAAAAUUUAGAAAGUGGAUCCAUACCGUAGUCAUAUUUGCUGCCUUUGACAUCCUUAAUCAAUCCUUGCUAGAUCUUCUUUCUCUUAGUCGUCCUAUGCCUGCAGAUAUAUUGUUCUAAUAAUACCAUAAUAACAUGAUUUUUUUAAAUCGGAAGAGAAAGUGGAGAAGUGAUUGUUGAAUACGGAGAAGUGAUAAGUCAAUAUAAAGAUUGAAGAUGCGAUCAAAGUUGUGAAAGAGGAAGUGGGAACGAUUUGGCUUUGUAACAUUAAUUUGUGUUAUUAUUUUCUUAAGAACAUUAAUUUGAUUAGUGAGAGACUAUCAUAAUUGCCUUAACCAAGAAAGAAGUUAAAGUCGUAAUAUGUGAGGUUAUGUGGCAACUUGUAGUAGAGUUUUAAAAUGAUGAUGUGGAUAGCUUGAAAGGCUUCAAACAACACCUUUUAUUAGUAAGAGAUUAUUUCACGACCAGGGAACCGCGCCAACUACGUCAAAAUUUCCAUUUUCACAUAGUCCAGAGUAAAAUGGGCCGAAAGUGGUGGACCAACCAAGACGACUAUAAAGUCCAAACGAUGUACAAAACUAUAUCUUGUGAAUAUAAAAUCUGAUAGACCCACCCAAUACAACACUUUCUUUAUCAAGAAAAAAGACACCGAGACUUUUCUUUUGAAAAAAGAUACACUCAUACACCGAGACUUGUAAAUAAUAUUGUUGUUGGUUUUGUUCUUCUCGAAAAUAGUAUAUAGUUUUCAAUUUUAAAGUUUUUAUAAUGAAUAAGGAUUGAAUGUGUAUAUUUUUACCAAACUAUAUAACACAUGGUCCUAAAUAUCUUCAUUUUGUCUACAAAAAUCAUGAGUUACAAUUUUGUAUCUUUUUGUGAAUUCAUAAAAAUAAAAAACAUUUCGUGUAAGGAUGCACAACAAGUACAUAUCAUAACAAUUACUUAUGUACAGUAUUUCUUUAAUUUUGUUCUGUUUAUCGUCUCUUUAGUAAAUUGGAUCACAAAAAUAAAUUUUAUAACAUGUUAUAUCAAAACAAUUUAUGUUUGAAAUAAUCCUAGUAGUCUAAAUUCGGAAAAAAAUCAGUAAUUUCCGAGUAAUCUUGAUGAUGCGAAUAAACUAAAUAGAAAAAUAUCAAUAGAUUUAUUCAAAGGUAGUGUGGUGAUUGGUCUAAAGAUAAUCAGUAAGCACAAGCUUCGCUUGUAUUAGUGCCUGUAGUAGUUCUUCAAACAAGUGUUAUUGGAGUUUUUUCCGACAUGGUGACUGAAACUCAUGAACUUUGGAGUUAAAAAUUGCAAGAUUUUGAAGAUUUUUAAGGUACUCAAUCGUAUCAAAACUACAACAGCUGAUGAAUCAUUCCACAAUUUCUCAAACGGAACAAAUCUUGUAAUUUAGAAGAUAGAAACAAUCGACACAGAUGAAAUCUCGCGAAGAAAAUUGUUAUUUAGAGAAUGACAAGUGACUUAACAUUACGUUUCCAGAUACCAAAAUACCUAAUCACGAACUGUUACAUCAAAUCUAAAGCAGAACCAAACCAAACAGAGAACACACAGAGAACCAAGAAGAUAGCAUAACGAGCGAGAGAGAGAGAACAUUCAUUGAUAAUCCCAAAUCUAAUUAAAGGAAUUACCAUCCUCCUCCACCGCUUCCUCCGUAACCUCCUCCUUCACCACCACCGUAUCCUCCUCCACCCUCACGUCUUCCACCACCGUAGCUUCCGCCACCACCACCUCCUCUUGAGGAGUAACCGCCACCACCGCUGUAUCCACCUCCUCCCUCACGUCUACCGCCGCCGCCACCUCCGUAGCUACCACCGCCACCUCCGUAUCCACCACCACCUCCGCUGCGGUAUCCACCGCCACCACCUCCACGGCCGCCUCCUCCGCCGCCGCUUCCUCGUGACUGAGCCUCGUUAACAGUGAUGCUACGUCCAUCGAGCUCUUGUCCGUUCAUUCCCUCAAUCGCAUCCUUCAUGGAUUUCUCAUCCUUGAAGGUCACGAAUCCGAAUCCCCUUGAUCUUCCAGUCUCACGAUCGUUAAUGAUCUGUUAUCCAAAAGCCAAAAAAAAACCAGAUCAGCAAAACAAUCCAACAAAGCUGAACAAAAUCAUUAGAUCUACUUCAAAAAAAAACACAAAAUUCCGAUCGAUCUCCGGGCUCACAGAAGCAGGAAGAUGAACGUACCGAUUUUGGGAAAAACAAGUAACAGUAACAGUAGUAACAAAGAACGAAUAGUAGUAACAGAGUAACAGUAAUCGAAUCAAGUAACAGAGAAACACAAGAUCGGAACAGAUCCGUCGAGGAUGAGAUCAUCGAAAUCACUCGGAGUCCGAUCUCGGCGUGUAACAGACCUUGGAAUCAACAACGUCGCCGUAUUGAGAGAAGGCAGUUUCAAGAGCUCUGUCAUCAGUGGCCCAAGCUAGACCUCCAACGAAGCACCGAUACUCAACAUCUGCGGACGCCAUUGAAAUUUGAGAAGAAGAUCUAGG